rnacentral:lncRNA from 1 species
AAAAAAAAAAAAAAAAAAAUGUCCCUAAUAAGCUAUGGCUCUCAAUACAUCUCCACUUGACCUCAGAUGUGCAGCAGAUAGUAUUGCGUGAUAUAGGCAUCACAUGUAUUAUUACCUAUUAAGUUCUUUUUGCAUCUAAAAUCGUAUAUUUUGAGUUAUCAAAACAUGAUAUCAUGAUCAUAAUGGUUUGCCCCUUGAUUUGCUUAUAGCAGCUACUUUACUAAUUAGGAACAAUUGUAGACCAUGUUUUGUAUCAAAGUUUUGAAGACAGCUAUCACUUAUUAAGGAUAAUCUCAAGUCUGUGGCAAAAAUAUUUUGGCUGAAGAAGGAACUAAUCAUAUGAUAGUGUCUCUAACAUAUGCUUAGUUUGAAGUCCUUUAUUAGCAUGAUAUGAGAUUAAAAACUUUGACAAUAAUGCAAGGCGCCUCUUAUAGAUUAGACCAUGUGUUUAAUAGUACAAGGCCUCAUACUUGCUUCAUUUCUUCACUCAAUGGACUCACAUACUAGCUUCUAUGUUAGUUAUAAUGCUAUAGCCUACCCUAUGUCAAGACUCAAGAAUGCAUUGCCCUAAAAAAUGUAAUCAAAUUCAUAGGAACGUGCACUUCUACAUGAUGAUCAAGAUCUUCUUCUAUAUGAUGAAGAUUUGAAAUGUAUCAAGCCUAUGCAUUAGAUGCAGCAGUCACACGUCAUUGGAUUUCAUCGCCAAAACUCAAAUUUGUACAACAAUAAUAUGUGCUUUUUUUUUAGUUCUAUAUCACCAUAUUUUAUGGAGAUAUUAGUGGACAACAAUAAUAGAAGUCAAGGCAAUCUCUUAAAAAUGUUGGGAGUAUAUCUACUAUACAAUCAAUUUUCUCUCAUGGACAACUAUAUGUGCUUCAAAGAAAGGCUUUAAAGAUACCGGUAAUUGACGGAAAAAAUUGAAGAUGUAGAUGUAAUGUCAAUUGUAGUUUACCAAUGCGAUAUUGGAAUGAAGUUUCAAUUGUAAUAUAUUUCACAUUAUUUUAAUUUAUAUUCAUCUAAUAUUGUAGUUCUAAAUUGCUAAUAUAUUAUGCUCAUCAUCGCACGGGUCGCGCGAUCUAGUACUCCCUAAAAUACUAAAGUCAUCAUAAUUUUCCCUCUCUAAAGUUAGCCAAUCCCAAUUCAUUUGUCUCUCAAAUCUCAACGCCCUACAUUUGUAGUUUGCAGCGCCAAUACCCUCUAUCUCUAGACUAAAGAAGGAAAAAAAAUUCGAUUCAACCCUAGAUAAAUCAAUUUAUGUUCAAAACAUUUUUAAUUAAAAUCAAUUUUCACGUGUCUUAGAACCAAACACAUGUAAGUGUUGAAUAUAACCAAAUAGACAACUUUGAGCAAUAUAAUACGACACUUAAAUAGUUGUAUGAAUUUGCGAUCAAUAGUUGCAAUGCCGUUAGUUUUUUUUUUCUUCUUUCUCUUUUAUCGGCUCGCAAAGAUUUUUUCCUUUUCUCUAUUUAUUAGCUUUCAAAUGGCAUAAGAUCGUCAACUUAAACAAGAACGUAUAACACAAGAUGUGAUACUAAACAUUGCUCAACAUAGUGUAUUGUCCCUUUUUUUUUUUAUACGACUAAUCAAAUUAAGGGAAAAAAAUUUUGCCAAGAAAUAUUAGAACUAAAUCUUCAGAUUGUAGCCAUCAAACCGUGUUUGAUCAUUGUUUUCAUCUUCAUCGUACAAGGUAAGCCUCAAAUUUAAAUGUUCUGUUAUUUGUUGUGGUUGAGUUCUGAAUUUGUUAUAGCUUUGUUGUGCUUGUUAUAGCUUGUAUAUGCUUUUGACAUUGUUGUUUGUGAUUUGUGGUGUUUGGUAACCCUGCAGGUCACCGCCGCCUCGCAUUUUAUGCCCCUCUCACCGCAGGUUUUCUGAAGCUCCAAUUGUUAGCUUCAACCAAAUGUGCAGUCACACCGCAACUUUUUAAAAUACCAAUCACACGCUUGAUAAAAUUGUAUUGAAUUUGAAUAAUGAACUAGUGAGAAUAUUUAUUGGAGAAGAUAAAUAAUGCCAUGGUGGGAGGACAUAUUCCAAUAAGAUUAAACACUAGCCAUUUCUUCUUGGUCAAAAACACACAUGCAACCCUUUCACAUCAGAGACUAACAAUUUUUUUUAGUAAUUAACCUCCGGAAUCCGCUUCUUUUGGAUUCAUAUUCAAGACCCUGCAAGGUUUAUUGUCAUGGUUAAACUCAGGUUCAGGAAUACCAAUCGGCGAACACUCUUCGAUUUGAUAAUCUCUCUCGUCAACCAUAGAUUUCAGGUAUGAGCAUGGCCUUUCCUCAGGAUCAAUAUUAGGAGGAGGCUCUUGACCUGAACCAAAUGGCAGCUCCAAAGAUGCAGAGCCAGGAGGAUGUGUUCUCAUCUGCACAGAUCUUAGAAGUGCCGCUCUUCUUAAGUCAGCAGAGUGGCAUAUAUCACUUGGAGAUGAUGGGAAGCGGCCGUCGGAGUCUGAGCUCCGCUGACGAGGCUGGGAGCAAGUAACUGCUGAGACUGAAAAGCCAUGAGAUCCAUUUAAACUUGUAGAAGGCGCUGAAGAAAAUGUGUUUUGUGAUCUUUGAUAUCUGCAUGGAGAAACUGGACUGCCGGGUCGGCUAUCCGGAUGGGAUGAGCAACUAUGCAAGCCGGUCUCGCAAAACCUUGAGUCGUCGGAGUCUUCGGACAUUGGUGAAUAUUGUAAAGACAUGUCAUCCCUAAAAAUAAGUUCAACAAAAGGAAGUAUCUGAGACACAACGAAUUAAUUUCAACAAAAGAUUGCUAGCUGUUUGCUAUUAGUGCCAGGAAAUUAUAAUUUUAUAUGCAUUAUAUCUAAGCAUUUUGAAUAAGUCACAAAGAGCAUAAAUAAACACAAUGCGGGUACACUGGAAAAGAGUAGUAUCAGGAAAAUUGAGAACUAAGUAAACCAUCCACAACCUGAGUCAUGUUUAUUAUAUAAUUUGAAUAAAAUUAUGAAAACAGACGCAUGGAAACACAUAUAUAACCUUAUACAUAAUGCUUGGGAAUGUAAGAAUUUUUCGAACACAAGAAAUAGCAAAUACAUUGAGUUAGCGACAAAAAUACUUCUUAAAAGCAUGUAAGUUCACAUGAAUUAUUUUGAAGUUAUUUAUUUGUAAAUAAAGUUUAAAUCAUAUGAAGACUAUAAAAAUGGUUAUGGUGUGUAAACAUGACAAGAGAAAUUAAGCAACAUACUUUUAGUUGACUCUAGAUUACAUCAGCUAUUGUCUGAUCGCAACUAGUGGGCAGCCCGGUGCACUAAAGCUUCCACAUACGCAGGGUUUGGGAAGGGGACCCACCAUUUUGGAAUAUUGUACGCAGCCUUACCCAGUUUUUUACACAAGAGGUUGUUUCCAGUACUUGAACUUGGGACCUUUUAGUCACGUGACAAUAACUUUACUGUUGUGCCAAGUCUAUUUGCUAGUUGCUACUAGUAUACAAAUAAUUUCCCGCCCAUUCAUGCUUCCCAGCGAAACUUUUUUCUGGUUGCAUUCAAAACUUUUUUUAAUACUAAUAUGCUAUACAAAUGUCGAGCUAAUAGUCGCAAAUCGCUAUGGCUGGAAAGUAAAUGGUCCUGAAUUCUAGUCCAUGCAUACCACUGUUUUUAUUUUAUUUUUAUUAUCAUCAAAUAGUCCACAUAAAUGAAUAAAAUAGCCACGGUAUGUAUCAGGAGUAUCAAGUAGAUAUGGCCUAUUUCUCUGUGCUAUGAGAGCCAAAAAACCCAAAAAAUCAAAGGUUGAGUUAGUUGAGCUAUAGAGCAUAUAAGAGGCUAUGUGAUAGAUUCACUUAACAAUGCAUUGAUGCCAGAUGAAUAUCUUCACUUAAAUAUGGAGUAUGACCAUCAGGCUUUCGAAUUUGUUCACAACAAAACUUUAGUGAAAAAAUUUAGUGGUCCUCUUUCAUUCUGGAAUAGCAAAGGGUACAUCAUUCUCAACUCUUAUUCAUAUAAAAUAAAAGUGUAAAAGUAUAAGCCAAACCGUUAUGAAAGAUUUAGAGUUAAAUGAUAAUUAUCAGAUAUUUUCAUGAUAGGAAUUAUGAUAUCAUUUGAUCUGUGUAAUCAAUCUGCCUAAUGGGCAUUUUGAACCAAAUUAAGAAAUUAAAAGAAAAGAAAAGAAAAGAAAAGAAAAAGGCAUAAUGUUCUAUAAAAAGAAAAUUGCAUAGCCAAAGAACUAUGCACCAGUAUGCAUAUCUUCUGUGAGGCUAGAAUGAUAAUUUAAAUACUUUUAACCAAACUCUCAAGUAUGAAGAAAAAAGGAUAAAUGAAGCAAGCAAAGAAAAUCAAACAAGUAUAAUUUCCAGAGAUUUCUGAAGCCAACAUACACUGCCAAAAUAAGUAUAAAAUGCAAUAAUGCAACUGGCAAUAACUCGCUCCACAAGCAAUACACCCUCCGGUCACUAUUAUAAGCAAAACUUUGCAUUUUAGACUCAUUCAAUUAAUGAUGUAUGUUGUCUAUAAUAAAGACUAUAUACAUCAUUAAUUGAAUGAAUAUAAGAUGUUUUUGCUUAUAAUAGUGACCGGAGGGUGUAUGAAGCUAGCUCAUACAUUAACAUUGCACAUGUUAGGUCCUAUUCAUUAUCGACUAAUUACAGUUGAUAUGAUACUACAAAAUAAACCUCAUUCAUAGAGAAAUAGUUGUUGAUAUUCUUCCAGAAUGAGAUUAGUAUAGUGUAAAGCAGUGUAGUUGUAGAACUUUGAUUUUACCUUAGAGAGAAAGCACUUUCAGACCUUGCUGGAGAUUCCAUGAGAUUAUCAGGAAGUGAGUCUCCAACUGUUAAUCCAUUAAGACUUGAUGCCAUUAUCUACAAAGUGAAACAAAAAAAAAGCUCUAAUUUAAAGCCUAUAGUACCUCAUUUCAUUUGAUUGUAACAAAAACAUAUAAAAAAAAUUAUAAUCACCUGAUACAAUUUAAUCAAAAAUCUAAAUGAUCAAAACAAACAUGUCCUUCAAACAAAAAACAUCUUCAAAAACAGUGUUUAAGCUCAGUUACACAAUAAUCUAUUCAAAAGAUCACAAGGAUACGGAAAUUGAAACAAGCAAUAAAUUUGAAAAACUAAAACAUUAAAAAAACAAAAUCUAUCCUAGAUUCACAAUAACUGCUAAGUGGGUAAAUAUUGAAACCUUAAAAAAAACAAUUUGGAAGUUAUGUUAAAGUUAAAUUUUUUAAAAAUAAAAUAUGAAAAACAACAAUAACAUGACAAAAGGUAAAUGAGACAAAGAUGCUGAACCUCGCUGAGGUAACGUUUGUGAGAACGAAGAUUGUCGACAUAAACUUCUUCUUCGGGGUCUCUGGUGCGUUUGCUACUAGGUGAAGAUGAAGAUGGUGAACCUCCCAAAUUCGAAUCGAAACCCAUUGUUGGAUCCAACACAAGAGAUUGUUUUAGAUGAAAAUGGGUUAUUCAAUGUUGCGAAUUUUGAGCAAAAUUUGAAGGUUUGGUUUUUCUUAUUCUGUUUUCUGCCAUGAAUGUAAGGAGGACACAGUGAAAUGAAACGUAUGGAAGUAUCUGAGUUUUUUUUAGGGGUGGGGGUGCAGAAAACGAUUGGAGGGUACUGUAGCAUGUUACGGCUGACGUGGUUUAUGAUCGCAGACCACUGGUGAUGGACACGUGUUUUUCAACUGUUAUCAUUAAUUUAUUAUUAUAAAUGGAGAACAUUAACAAGUGUCCCUGACUACUAUCUAAAAACUAUAUAUAUAUAUAUAUAUAUAUAUAUAUAUAUAUAUAUAUAUAUAUAUAUAUAUUUUUUUUUAAGAAUCUAAAAACUAUAUAUGUAAUCAAUCUAUUGAGAUAUUUAAUUUUUUAAAGAAUAAUUACUUAUUGAGUUAUGUUAAUUUGUGUUUUAAUGAUACAAGUUAAAGAACUAAAAAAAGAAAUAAUAUUAUCUUAGGUCCUAAAUAUAAGAGAAUAAUCUUUUUUUAGGUUCAUUGAAUAAUUAAUGUAUCUAGACUAUAGCAUACAUUAAAUACAUCAUUUAUUCAAUGAUCCUGAAAAAAUAAUCUUCUUUUAUAUUUAGGAUCGGAGAGAGCAAAUAAAUUUUGUAUUUAAAAUAUAAAUUUUUCAGCUUUUACAUCAUUGAAUACACAAAUUUCAAGAAAAAACUUAUAUCUUUAGCCUAUUAACUUGUACCUUAAGGCCACAAGUUAGAAUUUCUCUUACUUAUUGUAAGAUGUUUAAAGAGUAUAUCUGGGUAUUUGUUAACAAAACUUCUUUUUUAAGGAAAAAUGUUAUUCUUCUUUUUUUAGAUGUUAACUAUAUUAUUGUUAGUCAUUGAAGUUAUUCAUGAAGUUAUUUCAUUUAUCGGAGGAGGAUAAUGAAGUGCUGACAAUAUCUUUUGAUUGAUGAAUUUGAGGAGAUUAUUUUCUCUAUAAAACUGGAUAAAUGCUAAGGACCAGAUGGGUUCAACACCGACUUCUUUCAUACAUUUUGGUUUACUUGAGGAGAAGAAGUUGUUAAUCAACGUUGUGUGUGGCUUUUGACAAGUAUAUUUCCUUCUAUGUUAAAAAUGACUAACAUUGCUCUUAUUCUAAAAGGGGACUCCUGAGUCUCAAUGUAGGACUAACGACCUAUAGUUUCGUGUAAUGUGGUUUACAAAAUUGAGGCCAAAGUCCUAACAAAUUGAUUAAAAACAAUGUUAGACGAAGACGAAUGUAUCUCAAAUGGUCAAUCAGCUUUCAUCUUUCUUGAUAUAAGCGAAGCUUAUCACAAGAUUGAGUGGAGUUACCUUAAAGGGGUAAUGAUGAAGAUGGAUUUCUCUCAGUCUCAUCAAUGAAUCAAAUGGAUUGUGAUGUGCAUUAAAAAGUGGAUUAUUCUUUUCUUGUCAAUAACAAUAUUUCCAGUCCCAUUAUUCCAGAAAGAAGGUUGAGACAAGAAGACUCUUUAUCUCCUUAUCUGUUUAUAGGUUGUGUUGAAGGCCUUUUCGCACUUAUUCAAAAGAAAAAUAUCAAUGGUGUUAAACUUUGUUAUAAUGCACCAAUUAUAUAUCACCUCUAUUUUAUCUAUUUAUGAAAAAGCUCUUGGUUAAGCAGUGAACCUUCAAAAAUCCAAGUUUUUUUUGCCGUGUAAAUGUCUCACAUGCAGAAUACGAUAGUAUUGCAAAUAUGCUUGGUGUACUAGGCAUUGCAAUGAGGCGGGGUAGGGACGAGUUUUACCUUCCCCGUCCCCGUACCAUACUCUUAUACACUUACCUGUUACCCUACUCAUACCAGCGGAGAUGAAAAAUCAAAUCUCGUCCCCGUCCCCGACGGGCUCGGGUAGCUCCGCCCCAUCCUUGCAGUGGAUAAUUUUUUUUAAUAAAAAUAAAAAUAUUUUUCAGCCAUAGGCGCAAUGUUGUAAUGCAUUAUCCAGUAAAGAGAUGAUGGUGAUCAAUGAUUAUAGUGAAGGAGAAAAGAGGUUGAGAGUGUGCGAUAUGAAAGGAGAAAGGAGAUAACUAUGAUAAGUGAGUGUCAUAUGAAAAAAUGAGACUGUGACUGUGUGAGCGAAAUGAUUUAGGGUUUGAGUUUCUAUUUAUAUAAAAGAGGUAAUAAAUUAAUUUUCUACAUUUAGAACGAGUUUGGGUAUGGGUUCGGGGUGGGUACAUGUAUCCCCGUUACUUGUUCCGUACCCGUGUUUUAAAAUCGGGGAAAACCCAAACCCGAUAAAAGCGAAGGAAACCCGUCAAAUUGGGAUUGGUUUGGGCGGGUACCCGCAUGAAUGGGUUUUGUUGCUACUUGAUACACAAUGUACAUGUUGUUCUUGGUACCGAUAAAUAUUUGGUACUACUUUCUAUGAUACAGGGAAGCGAAAAAACCACUUUUAGCUUUAUCAAGAUAUGGAAGAAAAUUAAUUCAUGGAGUAGUAAAAGUCUACUCAAAAAAGAGCUUGAAGUUCUAAUCAAAUCAAUACUCUGAUCUAUUCCUACUUAUUUCACGAGUUUAUUCACUUUGUUUGUAUCUCUUUGUGAAGAGAUUGAAAGGGUGAUGAAUUCCUUUUGGUGGGGACAUUCAAAAGCUUAAAAUAGAGGAAUUAAUUGGCUUUCUCGCGACAAGUUGUCUAUGUACAAAAACAAUGUUAAGCAAACAAUGUUAAAGAAUUAUGACAAAUUCAUGUUGAGUUAUAGCUAAGUUUUAUAAUGCGAGAUAUUUUCCCCGAUGUAAUUUCUUUCAGUCUACAUUGGAACAUAAGCUUAGUUUUGUAUGGAGAAGUAUAUGUAGUUCAAAGUUUAUCCUAGCAUAAAGUGGGUGGAAGAUAGGUGAUGAUGUGGAUAUUCUGGUUUGAAAUAAUAGUUAAAUUACGAGUGAUGUAAUUCUUUUUUCUCAUAUGGCUGGCUAGUGAUGUCCAUUUAGCUAAUCUAAAAGUCUCUCAUUGUAUGAAUCAUGACCGAAAAGACUGUUGCUCCAUUCGGUGGCUGAAGAUCGUUUAAUCUGAAGAAGAAGAAAAAAGAAAAUCAUGGGAAUUAUUCGGUCUGAAGUGUAUACAGGCUUUGUAUGCAAGAGUUACUCGAUAGUCGAUACAUCAUAUUUUAAGGUGCAAGGAUCGUGGGAUCUAAUUUGAAAGCUCAAAGUUCCUCCAAAUGUAUUUAUUUUUGUGUGGAGAGUUUGUAGAAACUGUUUAUCGACACACAUGUGGCUCAAAGAUAAAAAUUGUCAACAAAGUUGUCACAAAUGGUUGUCAAUAUAUCACUACUCUUUUUUUAAUGCCAAAGUAACCUAAAUGUACAUCAACGAAAUUAUAAUUAAUGUACUACAGGUAUUGUCAUUAGAAGACACACCUUUUUUUUUUUUUUUGUGUACUUUGGAGUAUUUGGAAACAAAGAUACAAUAAGGUUUGGAAUGAGGUAGUUGAUCCUCAAACUUUUGUUGUAGACCAAGCAAAAACCAUGCUUCAAGAAUGGCUAGCUGCCCGUUUGAUGCGCAACACGUCAAUUUCCCUCCCAAAGCAAGUAGGUAAUGCGAAGUGGACAAAGUCAUCUAUAGGAGGAUUUAAGUGCAAUAUUGAUGCUUCUUUUUCCAAACAAACCAAUAGAGUUGGAAUAGGAGUAUGCAUAAUGGAUGAUACAUGCACUUUUGUUUUAGCGAAAACUGAAUGGUUUAGUCCAAUUUGUGAGGUGCAUGUUGGUUAAGCUAUAUGAUUGUUAUCAGCGGUAGAUUGGGUUCAUGACUUGAAUUUAAGACCUAUUGAUUUUGAGUUUGAUGCUAAAAAGACGAUGGAUAAUUUGUCAUUCUCAACGCACGAUGUCACAAAGUUUGGGAUGACUAUUCAUAAUUGUAAAAUUAUUUUCAAACAAUAUUACAUUAACUCCAAUGUUGAGUUUGUAAGGAGGCAGACAAAUGAGGCAGCCUAGAGUUUUGGUAAGAUGGCCACAUCUUCAGCUAGUUUUAAAACAUCAGUAGAAACGCCAAAUUGUAUUGUAUUAUCAUUAAUGAAAUGCUAUAUGUUUCAUCCUUUUAAAAAAUCAGAUCAACAAGACGUUUUAAACAGAACAAUUUAGUCCGUAACAUAUCUUAAUUUACUUAUGACAAAAUUAAUAAUCUUUAAGUUUUUCAAAAUCGAAACAACAAAUAAUAAUAAUAAUAAAUAAAUGAAGAUCAAAAUCGCCAAUAGAAGAAUCAACAAUCAUGGACUAUAAAUUCCUCAAAAACAAGAUUACAAAACAACAAUAAAAAAAGGCUAAAUUGCACUUUUCCCCCCUCUAACUUUCAAAAACUUGCAAUUUAGCCCCUUUGCAUCUUUGGUCCUUUUGGUCAAUUUUGACUAAUUCAACGCCUACGUGGCAGGCCACGUGUGUAAUUAAUUAAUUAAAAAAAUUUAAAAACCAAAAAAUCAAUUUUUAAAUUAAAUAAAUUAAAAAAAGAAUUAAAAAAUCAGAAAAAAUAAAUAAAUAAAAAUAAAACCCAAAACACUUCUCAAUGGCUGACGAUGAUGCCUUAAAUGGUUCAACACCAGAUUUGCAUUGCUUCUCAAACAUCAUCUGGAGGUACCUGCCUUGCUCUUCUAUUCGCAACUGUAGAUUUCUUUGAAUCUAACACAAAAAGGGGGAGAGUUACAAGAGGAGCAAGUGAAAUGCCUUGGACAAUUCAUACAUGUGACAUGACAGAUGCAACAUAACCCUAAAUGCUGCAUAAAGCUUCAUAUCAAAUAAUAUUAUGGAAAUUAAUUCCAUGACCCAAGAUGAAAACAAACAAAUCCUAAUCAGUAUAGCCAAAAAUGUCAGAUUUCAAAAGGGGAAAAAAGAAAGUAUUCAAGGCUUAGAUAUUUUGCAAAAAAUAAAAUAAAAAAUGUCGUAAGUUUGUGGUGGUUUAUGGAAGAACUAACUUUUUUUCUUUAAUUCUUUUUUUUAUCGAAUGAAUGAAUUCUUGUUUAGAGAGGAAGAGAUAGUCAUUGCCGUGAGUUUGUGGUGGUUUAAGGAAUUUUCAUGGUGAAAAUGAGAUUUGGGAAUGAAAAUGAAAUCAGGGUCUUGAGUUGGUGAAUCUGGAAUGAAGUUACCAAAAGAAGAAGAAGUGAAAAGAAUAGAUAUGAAAUGAAUGGAUUUUGGGGUGGGGUUGAAAUCAAGAGGAAGAAGAAGAAGCCAUUGGAAGGUGGUGUUGGUGGCUGGGGUUAGUAGAGAGAAAGAAGAGAGAUUGAACCACAUCCCUCCACUUUUUAUUUUUUCUGAUUUUUUAUUUAUGUUUUCAUUUAUUUAAUUUAAAAAUUGAAUUUUUAGUUUUUUAAUUAAUUAAUUAUACACGUGUCAUGCCACGUAGGCGUUGAAUAAGUCAAAAUUGCCCAAAAAGACCAAAGAUGCAAAUGGGCAAAAUCUUAGAGGGCUAACAUUGUAGUUUUUAUACUUAGGGGGCCAAAAUUGCAAGUUUUUGAAAGUUAAAGGGGGUAAAAGUGCACUUUAGCCAAGAAAAAAGUCUUGAAUUUUGCUCUUCACCCUGCACAUUUUGCUCGCGCCCUGCAGCCAUGCCAAAAAUGUCCUUGCGCUAGUUAAGUCACGCAGCGUGACUUAACUAGCGCGCCUUAUAAUCUAUGCGUGACUUAAGUCACGCACCAAUGGCCUAUGCACGAGUUAACUCACGCACCAUGGUCGGUGGUCAGAGCUGAAGAACAAACGUUUUUUGGUCCUUGAUCAGUUUUCCAACAUUCAUUCCACACGUUUUUUACCAAAUUUUACACAUUUUUUGACCACAUUAAUGGUAUUUUCAACCUAUACUACCAUUCCCACGUAUAAAUACCCCUCCAUACUUCCCUAAUUCCUCACACCAUCUCACUUUCUCCUCCUCCUCACUCUCUCCCUCUAUUUCUCUUCUUUCUUUCUUUUUUCGAUAUUCUCUUUGGGGGCAAAAGUGAUCAAUCUUCGUCGGGGUAAAAUAGUGAGUAGCCGACAUGGGGAAGUGAACAACCCUUGGGAUAAGUUUAAAUCUGCUUUUUUUUACUCCAUAAACUUUUUACUGUGGGUAAAAAGAUUUGUCUUGGGGUAUAAAAAAACCAUAUUUAAAUUUAGCCCAAGGUUGAUGAUGUAUUUUCCCCAUGAAGGCUGCUCACUAUUUUACCCCAGAUGAUUAGUCACCUUUUAACCCAAAGAGGGAGAAAAUAAGUAGAUUUAGUGAUUUCGAAUAAAUUGUUGUAUCAAUUAUUGUAUUGUAUGAAUUCUAUUAAUAAAAUGAGAUGAUAUUGUUAUAUGCAUCAAUUUUUGUUAUUCCUUUUAAUUUUAUAUUUUUAUUUAUUUUCUAAUUUUGUAUUUAAUGAAUAAAUAUUAAUUUAGUUCAUUUCAUUUUAUUUAUAUUUGUAUUUAUUUAAUGAAUAAUAUCGUAUCAAAUAAAAAUUGCGAUAGCGUGAAUUCGAAUAAAAAUUGCAACAACGUGAAUUCAAAUAAAAAGUCUAAUUAAGGUUUCGUUACAUUACAUAAAUGACAUGUAUGUCAACAAUUACAUUACAUUACAUGCACCUUCCAACUACAACAAUUGUCUUGCCCCUGAAUGGGGCAAAUUCAAACACCCUAAGCAGCACGACUCCAACAUCCGAUCAACAUCUUGAAUGAUGGUAUUCAAGUGUCAAGGAAUGCACCUCAUUCUUUUGACACUUGAAUACCAGCAUUCAAGAUGCUUAUCGAAUGUUGGACUCCUGCCGAUUAACAAGUUUGAAUUGCCCCAUCCAGAGUAAGACAAUUGUUGUAAUGGAAAUGUGCAUUCCAACUACAACAAUUGUCUUACAUUUGAAUGGGUAAAUUCAAACCUGUCAAACAACAUGACUCAAGCAUUUCACCCGGCAUUCAUGUUUUCCUUUGAAAAGAAUAAAUUUUUGUUAGGCUUGCUUUAGAUGAUGGUAUUCAAGUGCCAACGAAAAGAGGUUCAUUCCUCGACACUUAAUAUCUUCAUCUAAACCAGCCUAACAAGAAUUUAAUCUUUUCAACGGAAAAACAUGAAUGCCGAGCGAAAUGCUUGAGUCCUGGCCGUUUGGCAAGUUUGAAUUACCCCAUUUCAGAGGUAAGAGAAUUGUUGUAGUUGGAAUGCACCUUACCCUAACUAAUGACGAUCUUCUGGCGGAAUCAAGUUGUUGAUGAUAUAUUUAGUUGAUCUCAGCAACGUCACCCGCAUAUCGAUCCACUGGAACAUGUUGUGCUCCCAAAACAUGCUCGUCACGUUUUCGUCAUUCUUUAAUUCCACCCAAGUGAAUGAUACCCUCCCCUCGUUGAGCGUUAGACGUUUAUACCGAACGUGUUCCACCCUCCUUGUGUCUCUGGGGUUGACUCCUUGGUUGAAUUCAGUGAGUUCAUCCUUUAGACCUCUUAACGUUACACCAAGACACCAAACUUUCAACCUCUGCGGUUCUCCGCCAUUGAAUUGUGCAUGAACGUCGAUCCACCCGGCUAUUGCUUCAAAUCUACACAAUAAGAAAUUAAAAACAAUCAAUGAAAAACUCAUUCAAACAAUUCAUCAAACACUUGGAGUGCAAAUUAUACAUAAACCCUAAAACUCAUAACUACAGCAUUAACAUUAACAUGCAAACAUCCAAACAUCCAAACACAAUUAAGCAAAAUAAGUCAUUUGCAUGUAACAUUGUAUCAUAUCUUGUAAAAAAAAAUCAAAAUUUAAACAAACCCUAGUCUAAAAAAAUUCUCUAAAACUCAAAACUACAACAUAAACAUGCAAACAUCUAAACAUUUAAGCAACACAAGUCAUUUACAUGAAAACAUUGUAUGAUUUCUUGCCAAAAACACAAAUUUUAACAAACUCUAAAUCUAAAAAAUUUAUAAUUUAUUAGAAAAAUAUAACAUAUAAACAUAAAAGGUUAAUGGUGUUUGAUCAUGAAAACUUACUUGUUAUUGGAGUGUUGUUUGAUUUGAACUUGAAGGAAUUUUGGAUUUGGGUGAUUUGAAAGAAAUUUUUGAGAUUUUUUGAGAUUUUAGAUGAGAAAUGAGCAAAUGAAGUGUUUUGCCUUGUUUAAGACAGCACUAGCGCAAGUUAACUAACGCCACGCUAGUUAACUCACGCAGCAUAUAUUAAGUGGCACAAUGAUUAACACUUGUGCUAAUUAACUAGCGCAAGAGCAUUUUUAACAUGGCUGCAGGACGCGAGCAAAAUAUACUGAGUGAUAGAGUGAUGAGUAGUAUUCAAAAGUCUUAGUGCAGACACACAACAUAUUAUGUCCUUUCAGAACCAAUAAAGGUUCAAGACCACAAUAAAUUACAUUUUUCUUCAAGCUACGAGAGAAAAGUAAUACAAUAUUUUUUUUAAUGAUAGUGAAUGGCAUCAAUCACGAUUCUCAUAAGAAAAAUUAUGGAAUACACUUUUCCUCCAACAAGCAGUCGGGGGAUAUUAGGAUACAAAAAGGAAUAUGUCAAUUAUUUCCACAAAAAAUAUAGUGAGAAAGUGCCCAAUCAUUAUUAUUAUUAUUAUUAUUAUUAUUAUUAUUAUUAUUAUUAUUAUUAUUAUUAUUAUUAUUAUUAUUAUUAUUAUUAUUAUUAUUAUUAUUUCGAUUGAUCCAGUUUUAUACAAUAGCACAUGAAAGUAAAGUGGAUGCUUUUACUCACAUGUGUGUGUCUAUAUAUAAUUGAUAAUAGGUUGAAUAAAAUGAAUGUUUUAUGAAACAAAACAAAGAAGAAAAACGACACCAACAGUAUUUCCAUCCUUUUAUGAGAAUUGAGAACUAUUAUUAUUCCUCCUCCUGAGGAUAAGGAUGGCUAGUCUACAAACUAAAAUUGACAUGGGUUGAUAUGUAUCAAUACGGGGAAGCAAAAAGUAAAAGCAGGAAGGUGUAGCCUCUAUAUUUGGAAAUUGUAGAUUUCAAGCAAUCUUUUUCACGAAGUCACAAAGCAAUGACAUCAUUUUUUUUUUGGUUACAAUGCUAAAAAAAACAGAAAACAGAAGAAAAAACCUCAAAGGGGAAAACUAAGAUCUCAAGAACAAAGUUCCUAAAGCAUUUGUCCUCAAUAACGGGCGGAGAUCGUUAGGAGAAUGUGGGUGUGCUAACAGAAUAUCAUCCGAAGAAGCUCCUAGCUUGGGUAGGAAAUCGGCACACUGAUUACCUUCGCGGAGAGUGUGGUGUAGCGAAGCAUUAUCUUGAGAUAGCAGAAUUUUAAUUUCAUGAAUCAGCACUGCAUAAACAUGAUAUUUCGAAGAGGUUUCCUUGACAGUAUUGAUAGCAAGGAGAGAGUCCGAGUAGCAUGCCAUAGCAGCAAGACCCAAGUCUUUAUCAAUGGUUAGGCCGUGAUAAAUUGCGGUUAACUCAGCUAGCAGAAUGUCAGCAGAAGCCGGGAUAAAUCCUGAGAAACCUGUGAUGUAAUAACCUGCACUAUUUCGAAUCAAUCCUCCAAAACCUGCUCUUGCUGGUGUGCCAAUGCAACUUCCAUCUACAUUAAGAAUGUUGGAAUUCAAAUUGUUAUUAUUCCAUCGAAUAUACCGGUCCAUAUGAAUAGCCGAAGUCGAAGGAAAGACCAGCUCUAUGUCUUUUGCAGAAUUUCUGAUGUUCGCUGUCAAUUUGUGUACCGACAUCUGCUCAUUGCUUAGACACAUUGAGUUUUGACACAUCCAGGUCCACCACAGACCUGCAGCAAAGGUUGUAGCGUGAGGACCCUUUGUUCCUUCUCUGAGCCAGUCUGUCGCAUCCUCCAUAGCAAAGAAUUCCGAGUCAUUGAAGCCAAUAUUGUGCCAUAUAUCUCUUGAGAAGUUGCAAUCACGCAUACAGUGGAAAAACGUUUCAUCAUGCAAACCGCACCGAGAACAAGUUGGAGAAGAAGCAAUGUUACGGUGGUUUAGCAUUGAUAAAGUGGGGACAACAUUGUUACAAGCGAGCCAGAUUAGAAACUUAUACUUCUCAGGGACUUUGAAACGCCAAAUCCACGACCAAGAGUGGUUUGAGUUGUUGGCUGAACCUGAUUGUGAGAGAAGCCAUUUGUAUCCACUUUUGGUGGUAUAAACUCCAUUCUUGUUGUGAUGCCAGAUAAAGGCAUCUUCAAUUGCAUCAUUGAACUUAAUUGAAGCAUUGUUGAUGAAGUCUGUCACGUCUUGAGGUAGGUUGGUGUAUAGCGCUUGUGCUCUAUUGCCGUUGGAGUUAAGGACUUCUUUCACAAAGAGGUGAAGGUCAUGUAUGUCUAUGAUGGGGGUUUGAGCUCCGAGGCAGCCGAAGCCACUCCAAUGGCUGAACCAAAACGAUGAAGAACCAGAACCUGCUCGCCAAGAAUAGCCAUUAAUUAAGACUUUUUUUGCACGGUUGAUGGAGGCCCAAAUUGCGGAGCUGCUGCUAUUGGAGGUUGCAUUAAAAAUGCUCGCCCCUGCUAGGUAUUUAUCCGAAAGCAUGUUCACCUAAAGCUUAUUAUUAUUUUGGAUCAAAUCCCAAACCAAUUUCCCAAGGAGACAAGUAUUGGCUUCUCUUGCUGAUCUAAUGCCCAGGCCGCCAAGAUUCUUCGGUUUUGCAAUUUUCUUCCAUCCUACCAAAUGAAUUCCCUUAUCAUUAUGACCCCUCCAUAUGAAGUUCCGAGUUGUCUGAUCAAUACUAUCACAAAUACUUUCAGGAAGCCAAUUUAUCUGCAUGUAGUAAGCUGGAAUAGAAGAGAGGACUGAUGUAGCAAGUGCCAAUCUGCCAGGUUUAUUCAAGAGCUUACUCUUCCAGGAUGCAAGCCUAGUGUGCAUUUUAUCAAUAACAAAAUGGAAAUCACUUCUUUUGGGUCGCCUUUUGAGGAUCGGGAAGCCCAAAUAUUUGUCAAGAGAGGUAGUGCUUCGGAUGCCUGAAAUAGAGGUGAGAGUAUUGAUUUUCUGAUUGGGGAUACCUGAUGAGUAGAAUGCUCUAGAUUUAGAUAAAUUGAUCUUGAGCCCAGAAGCUUUGCUGAAACGAUCGAAGAGGCCCUUGAUGAAUCUGAUUUGAGACUUCUUUGCUUUAGUGAAGAGGAGAACGUCAUCCGCAAUGACAUCAUUGAUUGUUUGAUAUUAAUCAAACGUCUUAGAAAAAAUAAAUUAAAUUUAAAUUUUAUCUUUCUAAAAAUAUCGAUCUAAAAUCAAAAUCGUUCGAUCUUAAUCAACCAAUCAAAAAUGCGUGACUACGUGAAUCUAAAAAUUCGUUGGCCACAAUCCCAACGAGAAGUUCAACCGAAAAAUAAUUAAAAUAUAACCCAUAAUUCUUUUGAACAAUUAGUAGAAAUCAUUUUUUUUUUGAUAAAUUAGUAGAAAUCUUUAAUCACUAGUCUAAGUCUUAUGUUGGUCAAUUCAUAAUAGACAAAUAAGAUAAGUCAUGUAACAUACACAAAUUAAUUUCUAUCAUGAAUUAGAUUAUUGGAUAGUUCAAUUGGCAAAUGCCGAAAUUCCAAAGCUAAACGUUGUGAUUUGGGUUCGAACACGGAACAUCACAGUUGUGUGAGUUUAAUUUUAAUAAAUUACCACUUUAUCUAGGACAAAAAAAAAAGAUUAUUGGAUAUAACGAGAUGAUCUCAUAAAUAAAAAUAAAAAAUUAGAUAUGAUGAGUUAGAUACGAAGAUCUUAUGAUAAAAAAAAAAAUAUUGUGCACAAUACAAACCUUAUUUUUUUGAAAGAAAAAAUAUUUUACCUCUGCACGUUAAACAAAACUAUACAUAUUUUUUUUUACAAUUAAACAAAACCAUAUUUGAUUAGUAGAAAAUUUUAAAAUAAAAAAGAAUAAUUCAUUUGGUUGUUUUAAAUUGCACUAGUAGAACUAGAAAGAGUUUUCAGUUGAGCAGUUUCAUUUCAUCUUGGUGCUAUCCUAUUCCUCCCACCAAAAUAUCAACCUUCCCGCUCGGAUAUAAACACAAACACUUCACCUACAACUCAUUCAUUCAUUCCCCAACCUAUGAAGUACGUUCUCAUCUCCGGCGGAGUCGUUAGCGGCCUCGGCAAAGGCGUCACCGCCAGCAGCAUCGGCGUCGUCCUCAAAGCCUGCGGCCUCCGCGUCACUUCCAUCAAAAUCGGUUCCCACUCUCUCUCUAACCAACUCAACUUCUUCUUAACCGUUUCGCUUCAUUCACCGUUUCUCAAUUUUUUUUUUUUUUUUGUUGCAGAUCCGUAUUUGAACAUUGACGCUGGUACCAUGUCUCCGUUUGAACAUGGAGAGGUUUUUGUUCUUGAUGAUGGCGGAGAGGUUUUUAUUUUUUUCCUUUUUUCUUUUCUCUUCCAUAAAUACACUUAUGCUAAGUUCAAUUUGAAUUUAUUAUGGUUAUGGAAGUGUUUAAUUUUUAUAUUUUAUUUUUACUUUUUUGCUUUUUGACUUUUAUAGGUUGAUUUGGAUUUGGGAAAUUAUGAGCGUUUUCUUGAUGUUACACUUACAAAGGAUAAUAAUAUUACUACUGGCAAAAUAUAUCAGGUGCAUGCUUGUUUCAUUUUAUGUUAUGGAUUUCAUUAAUUAAUACUCAACUUUAUGCUAAUUUUGCUUUAUGGUUUCAUGUGAUUAUUUUUAGUCUGUGCUUGAGAAGGAGCGCAAAGGAGAUUAUCUCGGAAAAACUGUUCAGGUGAUAAAUCGUGCACGUGUUUGUGCUAUUUAUACUUGUUAAUUGAUUGCUGAAUAAUGGAUAUUUUGUGUGGAUAAUGAAGAUAAGAUUACUGAGCUGUUGAGAUUUUUUUUGAUGAAAUAGGUGGUUCCGCAUAUCACUGAUGCAAUCAGAAACUGGAUUGAAUCGGUUGCUGUGAUCCCGGUUGAUGGAAAUGAAGACCCUGCUGAUGUUUGUGUGAUUGAGCUUGGAGGCACUGUGGGUAAGAUUUUACAUCACCAAUUAUGAUUCUGUUUUUUUUGAAAGUUGCUUUAUUCACUUCAAUCAAUUAUGAUAGAGCAUAAUGAUAUUUUUGUUUAUCUAUAGGGGAUAUUGAGUCUAUGCCGUUUAUUGAGGCUCUACGGCAAUUAUCCUUUCAAGUGGGUAUGACAGCAUCUUUUGCUUUUUAACUAACUUUAGUUAUUUUUGUAUAUAGAUACCCCAUGUACACGUUUUAACUACUACAGAGUCUUUGUUCAACUGUUCAUUGCUCUCAUGUGUGAUGAGGAAAUAAUUUUAAUAACUUUUAAGUUCCUCUAGUCAAUAUAAUACUAAAGGUAGAAAUACUUUUGUCAAACAAUAAUAAACAAUAACUAAAUUGAGUAAAAAAAAAUCAACAAGUAAUGUCGAUUUUGUUGGUUUUCUAUUGCAAAAUACAUAUAAUCCAAAUACUUAGGUAAGUGUCAGUUUGACUGUGCCUGAUAAUCUGAAUGCAAAUUUUAUUUAAGAUCAAUCUGAUACAUAAUAAUUUUAUGUAGCAUUUUUGGUGUAGCACUAAUGCAUAAUUCAUUCAAGUAUACUGCUGAAUUCAUUUAUGUAUCAUCAUGUGUAUGAGUCCAUAUACUUAAAUUUCAAAUGUAUUGGCAUUUUAAACUUUACACUAUUGAUGCUCCUCCUAUUUUUUAGAAAUUAUUUUAAAAGAAGUUAUUGACCAAUACAUUUGGGAUAUGACUUUGAUACUUCAGGAUACACUAUUGGAGUGCAUACUCUUUUAAUCAUUAUAAUUGAUUUGAAGAGAAAUAAAAUGCACCUAAAAAGGCUAGAUGCUUUUAUUUAUGUUUAUUCCAUCAUUUGACUGUUGUCGAGGAAAGAUGACCGAUACACUAAAGGAGAGAAAAGGUUGUGGGACAUUCACUUGAUCAUAUUGGUAGACUUCUCAAAUUGGUAGAACUAUCUCUUGGUGAAUUAAUUAAUCUUAAAAGAUGUACAUUUAUGGAUGUUUAGAAGGCUGGUGAUGAAAUUGGUACAAGUACAACUAGUAUUAGUAGUCAAUUGAAUACAUUCAAGAGCAAGACUUAUUUUAAAUAGGCUUAUUGAUGUUUUAUUUGAUAUUAUGGCAUUGGUUUGGGAAAAAUACGUAAUUUUAGUUAUAUUUUUAUAGGGAGAAAAAUAUAUGUUGAUAUGCUACAUAAAAAUAAGUGUUUUUGUUUUUAUUACGAUCACUAGUUUCUCUUUGGAAGUUAUGAUCAUUAUGUACUGAAUACUGAUAUAGUUUUAUACUAAUAAAGAAAUAUUAUCUUUGCAUAAUACAAUUGUCACAUUUUCAUAUAGCCAUGAAAUGUCAUCUUGUCUCGACAAAUAACAUUUUUACUCUCAUUAUUCCUUCUCAGGGCCUGACAACUUCUGUCUCAUCCAUGUUAGCCUGAUACCAGUGUUGGGUGUAGUGGGGGAACAAGUAAUACACUCAAUUACUUGUGCAUUACAGUUUUAGACUUUUGAUCACUUUUCUCUCAUGUGAGUGCAAUAUUUUUCUUCUAGAAAACAAAGCCGACACAACAUAGUGUCAGGGAACUAAGAGCAUUGGGCUUGACGCCUCAUCUUUUAGCAAGUCGCUCUGCUGAGGUAUAUCAUUGCACCAGUUGGUGCCUAGAUGCAUUUAAAAUUAACUGUGUAACAAUGGUUGCUCCAAAGUCUUUAGGUUGUACUACUGCAUAAAAAGUUUGCUUGCUCACUCGUACUUAGCAUGUACAUCAUAUUGCUCUUUUCAUUUUAGCCACAAGAAUUAUUGAUGUUUACCACAGUUACGAAAUUCAGGCUCCACAGUUAGCAAAGAACAUAAUUAUAAUCAUUAUUUUGCAUCUGGUAGUCUAGAAAUAUUUGCUGUAUUUUUCAUCGCAAGUCUAUGUGACUUUAAAGUUGGUUAAUCUAUAACUCAAUGGGUGAAAAACUUCAAUAAUUCUAUGCACAUGAGCACACACCGACAUACUUUUAAUCUUUAUUUUUAAAAUCGUUGCUUCUGAAAUAAUUUAAAAAUUGAUCAGAAAAUAAUACAUUUCUUUGUUUGGUUGAUUAUACUAGCACUAAUGCAUUGAAUCCUAUUAAAACACUGCAGUGAACUUUAGUAAGGGUAAUGCUAGGAUGGUUACUGUUAUUACUUAUUAGAGAAUGUUUGUGAUAUUGGGCCUUACCUAGGAAAUCUGUUUUCUUGGUAAAUCAAUAAAUAGAUUGUGGUUGUUAAGACCAAAGGGGUUGAAGCUGAGUGCUAUUGCAAAAGCUACUUAUGUGCUUACGUGGAUUUGACAACUUAUGUGACACUGUUUUUGCUCUUGCUUCUCCAAUGAGAUUAUGGGCUGACAAUCAAGUGUCUCCUUUUUUAAGGAUUAUUGCCUCAUUCUAUAUUUAGGAGAAUACAGUGGUUCAUUGAAUUUAUCUUUUUAUGUUCAUAUUUUUUUUCCCAUGAAGUUAACUAGAGAUUGUCAGUGUUUCUCAAAUAUUUUCUUCUGUUUUGACAGCUGUCUUUGAUGUUAGUUUCACUAUAUCGGUAGUUAAAAUACUUUUUUUUAUUCCAUGUGCAGCCUCUGCUGGAUAGUACCAAGGAAAAACUCUCACAGUUUUGCCAUGUUCCAGUAAGUUUUCAGUGAAUUAUUCUUGGUUAUUUCCCAGAUAAUCUUUAAUUUAUUAGUUAUUGAUCUGUAUUUUCUGUAUAUUUUUUCACAGGUUAACAAUAUUCUGAAUAUUCAUGAUGUACCAAAUAUUUGGCAUAUUCCCCUGUUGCUUAGAGUGAGUCUCUAGUAAAUUUUUAGUGCCAUUGAAUCUUGGCUAUUUUUAAUUUGUGUAAUUGUUUUUCUCUUAAUGUCCGGCUUCUAUUUUCAGAAUCAAAAUGCCCACCAUUCAAUUUUACAGCAGCUUAACUUACUUAGGUGAGUUUUUGAUUUGUCUUUUAUUUUCAUAACUGGCAAAAGCUAUACACAAUAUCACAUGUAAAAGUUGCUACAGUAAUUCAAACAUCACCUCUCUUCUUAAUACAUUAUUGUUGAUCGCACUCUACAAAUUGUCUUUUCCUUGCUUUAAUUGAUGAGAAACUUUGAGAUGUAGCCCAACAAUGAAGAAUGCAUUGAUUACAUUCUCAACAGUAAUGCAAUGACUAAAUGUAGCAUUUGUGUUCCAACUGUCCCCUGCAUCCCGUCGUUAACUUGAGUUUAUCUUAUAAUUGUUCACUUCUUAUGAAUAACUCUAGCAUAAAAACAAGUCUUUUGGUUUUGGGGUUGAUCUUAUAAUUGUUCACUUGUUAUGAAAAUAUACUUUGAAUAUCUUGAAACUCUUAAUGGUUUCUGAAAAACUAUAAGUUAUAUGUUGGAAUCUCUUAAUGGUUUGAACUAACUGUUAAAAUCUGAACAAAAUUGAAACACGUCAUAUGUUGGUCAUAAUUGGGAAGGUUCUGCUGGAUAUGUCUGUUACUUGUUUUCCAUCUUUUUAUUGAAAAAAAUAUUAAUAAUUGGAAACAUUAGUUUGUCUCACUUUUAAAUUCCUUUUCAGCCGUGCUACGCCUCCUGAUUUGCGGCAAUGGACUGAUAUGGCUGAGAGCUAUGAUAACCUUACUGAAUCUGUUAGUACUAUAUAUGCUGUUUACAAUGCUUUUUCUAAAUUUAUCAUAAUAUUUUGUUCAUGUGAAUCAUUCAUGUGAAUCAGAGCAUUUUGAAAUUUACAGGUUAGGAUUGCCAUGGUGGGAAAAUAUGUUGGUCUAACAGAUUCAUAUUUAUCUGUUGUAAAGGUGUGCUGUUCUUUCCCUUGAUAUUUAUCCCAAGAAUAGCUGGAUAGCAAUAUAUGUUAUGGAAAAAUUGUUUCAAGAUUUUUGUGUAUUUAUCAUGUAGCUAUCAACAUUGUUUAGAUGAUGGCAUUUAAAUCUUUCUUUAUAUUUUUCUUCGUUUAAGUCUGGUUCUUUCCAAAAGUUUGAUGCCAUAUUCACUAGCAUUAAUCUGAGUUUGACAUCUUUGCUGUAUUCUUAAAACUGCUAUCACUUAUUGGUUUAUGCAUGCUUUAUCUUAUAAAAGCUAAAGUGUACAUAUCACUACGGAACAUCAACAUAUUUGGAUUUUAGAAUUCUAAAAAAAUUAAAAAAAGGGGUUUUUGGUUGUUCUUAUGUCACUGAAAUAUUCUGAAUAGUUUGAUUUUUUUAUGCCUCAUCUGUUUAAAGGCCCUACUGCAUGCUUGUGUUGCACGCUCAUUGAGACCAUCAAUUGAUUGGAUUGCUGCUUCUGACCUUGAAGAUGACAGUGCACAAUCAGUAAUGAUUUCUUUCAAAUUGCAUUUGCAGAAAUUUGGUUUCUUCUCAUUAUGCAGGCAGUCAGGCUUAUUUAAUUUUAUUUUGUGGUUUUAUUCUUUCAGACACCAGAAGCACAUGCAGCAGCAUGGAAGACUCUGAAGGUAAGUGCACUAGAAGCACAUACAAUUUAUGGAAGUUUAGUCUAUUCUAUCUAGGAAGUUUGGUGAGAAGAUGUUGAGGCCUUCAGAUUUUAGUUAUGUGAUCCCGCUAUGUGCUAGACGGUUUUUGGUUGAGAAAUAAACAAAAACAUGUUUUCUCCAUUGCUUUAAUAUCUAUGAUGGAACAGCUGGACUUUCUGUGAUGAAAUUGGAUUUCUUAGAAUUUAGAUUGGGCUUAACUCAACCUAAAAAACUGACUUGUAAACAUUAUUCAGUUCAUAUCACUAUUUAAUGCACAACUUUCAUCAAUCAACACACACACCCUUUACGUUACUGGCUAUUUAGAGUGCGAUCCGAUUGGCUUAAUAAUGGGUGGUCUUAUGGAUCUUAGAUAGUCUCUGAUACCAUAUUGAAUUUGAAAUUUUGUUGAGCCUGCUCAAUCUCAUAAUAUUGGCUUGUAAAUACUACUAUCCAAUGUGGGACUCUCCACAUGAUUAAUACAAUACAAAGAAAGAUGUUCUGCUUUUGAAUCUGUAAUGACAAUAUUUGUUUCGGGAAAAUUUACUUGCAGAGUGCAGCUUGUGUCUUGGUUCCCGGAGGAUUUGGAGAUCGUGGCGUGAGAGGUAUGAUGCUAGCUGCCAAAUAUGCCAGAGAGAACCAUGUUCCUUACUUGGGGAUUUGCCUGGGAAUGCAAAUUUCUGUAAUUGAGUUCGCUAGAUCAGUAAGUAAUUUUUUGUUUGUGAUAUUUGGUUUUUCUGUUAUGACUGCAUGCUUUUCUUAGUAAUUUAAAAUCCAUUCUUAGGUUUUGGGCUGGGAAAGAGCGAACAGUAUCGAGUUUGAUGCCCAAACACCAAAUCCGGUUGUAAUUUUCAUGCCAGAGGUACGUAUACUUGUCUCCCCUCUUCUGCAAUUUCCCCAAUCAUUAUCCUUGUUGUAAUGCCUGCUUGUCAUAAACAGGGUUCUAGGACUCACAUGGGAAGUACCAUGAGACUUGGAUCUCGAAGAACACUCUUACAGACACGUGAUUCUAUCACUUCUAAACUGUAUGUGAUGUAGCUAUCUUACUAUGUAGUGUUUUAAUAAUUGAUGGAAUAAUGAAUAAAAAAUAGAUUAAAUAUCCCUUUCACAGAAUAGGUCAUCUCUCUUUUCCAUUAGAUAAUUUUUUUUUCCUGGUAGUAUCUGCAUAUAUAAAAUCUCAGUUUUCUUGUUCUGGGCCUGUCUGGUUGUUCUGAAGGACACAUGUCAAUAAGGAUGUCUGGUCGUUGACCAAGUGUUCGAUCAUCAGGGAAUCGUUUUGCGUAAAUGAAUAUCAGGCCCGAUUCAUUAUGUUCUAUGAUAGUAUUACAUUUCAAAUGUGCUUGGGAUUCAAAUUCAGUUCUUCCUUACUGUAGAUAAGGGGUUUCAAGGGAAGGGAAAUGGGAAAGGUUUGGUCAUAUUGCACAGCCUACUGUCCAAACCUAUAUCCCCCCUUCCCUUCCUAGCAAAAGGUGAAAAAAUAAUUUCUAUCAACAGUGUGAUAUAUAGUUCUCCUUUGUAAUCCUAAAGAAUACAGUACCUCUGUCUCUAAAUAUAAGACCACAUUGAGUAAAUCAAGAGAUUUGAAAAAGUUGAUUGUGAUAUUACAUUUGUUGAGAAGUUUACCCUUCAGGAGAGAAAAUUACUUAAUGUAUUCAUCAGAGUAUUUAUUACAGAUUGCAGAAAAAGAUGUAAUAUAAUUAGGAGUAUGUUGGUAAAGAAAUAAUCGAUGUCGUUGAAAAUUUGAAAGGAGUCUUAUAAGAAGGGAAAUGAUAUUUUGGGACUGAGGUAGUAUAUGGUUCUUUUCUGUGUUGUAUUAUACUGUUUAGUUGGACUAGACUUCAAUAUGUAGAUUAUGCUCUCAGUACUCAUUUUGUCCAUGUUAAUAUCUUCAUCCGUUCCUAAUUACCAGGUAUGGCAAUUCGGAGUAUGUGGAUGAACGGCAUCGUCAUAGAUACGAGGUUUUGAUGUUAACCUUCGUUUUUGGUUACUGGAUGUCCUGCAAACAUGUGUAGUACCUGUUUUCUAAUUUAGUAUUGACAUUGUUCAGGUUAAUCCAGAUGUUAUUGAAACUUUAGAAGAAGCUGGGCUAAAAUUUGUUGGCAGGGAUGAAAGCGGAAGACGAAUGGAGGUAUUUUUUCCUGCUUGGAUAGGGUUUUGAUGUUAAUAAAUAUUAACCAGAACUGUAGUUGAAAACCUGGCGGUUUCAAUUAGACAUGGCGGUAUUUGUUAUCAUGCGUUAGUGUUUCUAUAUAUUACUGUUCCACAUAAUUCACUUUCUUCAUUGCCUGUUUUUCUGCUUGAAGAAUGUAACCUUAAGAAAUUCUCUCUCUUGUGCAGAUCUUAGAACAUCCAAGUCAUCCAUAUUAUGUAGGUGUGCAGUUUCAUCCCGAAUUCAAAUCUCGUCCUGGGAGACCAUCUGCUUUGUUUUUAGGUACUUUUCAGUUAUGAAUUGGCAUUUAAUAUCUCGUGCAUGAACAAUAUCAAGUACAAACCAAGAGCCAUUUACACCAUAUGUGUUAAUAUUGUGAGAUGAAGAUUGCUGUUUGGACCUUCACAGCACACUCUUGUGGUUGCUUAUCUUCCUGAUGUCAUUUUAUUGCUUGCUUAAGAUUAAAUACCUACCGAAAUUCCCAUGUGAAUUGAUGCUUAUAAUUUCUUGAAAAAUGACAAGAAGUAAUAAGUAAAAGAAUUUGCGCUUCAAAUUAUUACUCCAUAUAUUAUCAUCAAUCCCUGUUUUGAUUAUUUCUACUCGAUUAAAUAUUACGACGCUGCACCUAUACUGUAGGUCUCAUAUUGGCGGCAACGGGGAAGUUGGAAGCACAUAUAACCAGCAUUCAUGAGAAUGGAAGCUGAUGUACGAUUCUUUACUAUAGGACUCAUUUCUACAUUACUUUCCUAAGGUAAAUUGAUUCUCUUUAGGGAAAAUAAUUGGGAGCAAGGGAAUGGGAGGUAGGAACUAGGAACUGAAGUAAGGAGGAAUGGGAAUCCUGAAGUGGAGUAUGCGUGCAGCUACCUCAUGCUUCUCUAGGUUGGAUCUGAUUCACCAGAAGUUCUGAGAUUUAUAAUUUUUAAUAUUAAAUUAACUUAGUAAUAGAGAUGCUAAAAGGUUGCAAAUACUGGUAUUGCAUCUACAGCCCUGACGUAAUGAAAACAAUUACAGCAUCUUGAGUUGUAACUUUGUCAAGCUAAGGAGGUCUCUGCUUUCCUUAGCUGAUAAAUUCAGCACUUCUUGGCCACACUUAGCUAAAUAGUAUGGCCAGACCUUUUCCUUAGUUGUAUAGCUUGUUGUGGAAGUAAUAUCAUGCCUUCUGAUUUAACAUAAUUCGUGUCAUCUUUUUCGAUCUUCAUUGCAGAAAAAAAAAGUAUUGAUGAUUGUUUGAUGUGUAUAGAGGUCUGAAGCGGAGCUAAUUCCUUGUCUACACUACACUAUAAGCAAGUUACUUUUCAUUUCAAAGCUGACCAUUAACCUGACACUUACAGGUUUAUAAAUUACUGUCAGACAGUUUAAGCUUGUUUCCUUGUUCAGUUCACCAUGCCCCAAACGUGCGUGCUCCUUUUCUUUUUAUGCUCGCUGAUUAGGUUUUAAACUUUCUUGUUCAAAAAUUGUAAGUAGAAUUGUGAGAUGAUACAUGUGUAUUUAAUAUUUUUCUUUGAGAGAAUAUUAUUUUCUUAUACUUGUGUUACUUACUUGUAACCAAAAAAAAAAGAAAAAUACUUGUGUUACUUACUCGCUCACUCAUUAUGAAGGUUCAUUAAGAAACAUUUUAAACGGAUGAAAUUGUUCAAAGAUAAUAUUAUAAUUAUGGGUUAUUAGUGGAAUUCUGUCGCAUACAUUUUGGUGGGUUCUUCAAUUGAUGAAUAUGGUUCCUUUUAAUAUUUGAAUUACCAUCCAUCUUUUUUAAAUAUUGAAAUUAUGUUGUAAGAAACUUGCACCCAAAAAAAAAAAGUUUGGAAGAAAAUUGAUAAAUGAAAAUUAAGGACUUACCACCUUGGAUGCUAUGUACAAGGGAUUUUAGGUAAAAAAAUUAAUGUCAUUUGAACGGAGUCUCUCUCUUUAUUGCAUCUCCAAUGAGGGUACUAAUUAACUACUAAGUUUCAUAGAAGGCUAAAUUCUUCAUUAUUUAUCUUCGUUGGAGGAACUUGGCGUGACAAAGUGGAUAAUAUAAAAAUUAUAGAAGCAACUUAAAUAAGGUUUGAUAUCAUUAUUAACAAAGGUGCCUUUGUUUAUUUUACCAUUGGAGUAAAAUGUGUAUAAGUUGCAUAAGUAUGACGUAGCAUUGUAGAGACCAUUUAUUAAAGAAUGUGUGAUCCGAAAGUAGGUUUCUUAUAAAAAGAUCAUUGGUUGGAGAUGUUGUAAGCUAAUUUUAUCACAAUCAUCUCAUUUUUUUUUUUUUUUUUUUUUUUUUGUCCCCGUGAGCAUAGCUCAGUUGGCAGGGACAAUGCAUUAUUAUAUGCAGGGGCCGAGGUUCGAACCCCGGACACCCCACUUAUUCACUUUAAAAGUGAAUUUCUAGCCGCUAGGCUAUCUGACCAAAAAAAAAAAAACAAGUAAGUUUUUAAUAAAAAAUAGUGUAAUCAUUACUUGAUCAAAUGUAACAACUUACAUUUUUAAGAGAAAAUUUUUAUUUAUGGAUUCCUUAACCAAUGCCCUUAUGCCACUAGUUAGCGAGACCUUUAUUUUAUUAUUAUUAAGUCAAUAAGUUACUAUCCUACAGUGCACCCAAUAAUACGACUACUUACAAGCAGUGAUUUUAGGAUUUCCUCUUCAGAUCAUAAUCGUUUUUGACAAUGCAUGGGAAUUCUUUAAUUUUUUUUUCCUUCAGUGUUGAUGAGAAACAUGGACAACUUUCAAAAGAAAAAUUGGGAUAUGGACAAGUGACAAUUAUAGGAGUGACAUAUUCUUUUAAAUUAAAAAAUAACUAGUAACACUAGUAUUUUAUUGAAAUUACAUCUACAAAACAAUGUAAACACAAGAACUCUAGAGCAGCUCCUUGUAUUUACAAACAUCCCGCUGUACUGUCUCUCUCUCACUUCAUGGGCUAAAAAGUUCUAUUGAUCAUAGUAUCAAAACUAAAAUCAAAGAAGGAAAAUUGAAGUUGAAUGCAUAAAAUAAAAUAAAAUAAAAUUUGCAUGUAUAAGGUGUCGAUCAGUUUGUGUCUCUGCUGGGUGUUUUCUUGUAUUGUAGAAGAGAAAUCUGGCGCUGCAGUCUCAUUUGCUGACGGAAUUUAGCAAUGAACUCAUCAGCACGUUUAUCUAUUCCUUCACCUUCUUGAACUUCUUCUCUAAAACCCAUUUCUUCACAUAAUUCAACCCCAUGAUGAAAUUCUUCGUCAUAAUCUCCUUCAUCGACUAGAUCACUCUUUCUCCCAUUGUCAUAUUCAACAAUAUCAUCAUCAUGAAAAUCAUAAUCAAAAUCAACAUGUGGGUUUAUACACGGAAUAUGAGGCAAGUGAAAGCGCAACGAUGAUGGACGAUACAUCUUGACAUUGAACAUAGGUGUCUCAUCAAAGGAGAGCUCACGUUCAAAGUAGUGAAUUUGAUUCGUAGGUGUGGUCGUGUGUCCUAAACGUUUCAAAUACUUUGGUACAAGACGCAGCUCUGUCGCUAGCUUACGCCUAAAUACACCACUUUUACGUGCCCACAACAAUGAGAGCCUUAGGAAGUUCCAUGCCCUACGACCAACAUUACCGUUCUUCAAAGACAUGGUGUUAUCUUUAACUAUAUGCUAAAAUGUGCUUGAGUUAUUGUAGGUGAAAUACAAAGUGAUGAAGAGUAUAGUAGCUAUAGCAAACAAGUGUUUUAACUUUUUUGUGUGGAUGAUUAAUGUUGUUGAUGAUGUAUGGAAAGUGGUGGUUGCUUUCUUUUAUAUGUAAAAAUAGAUAGAUUGAUUUAGGACGCGUAGCGUGGUGUGAGAAAGAGACAGUGUAUAAUUUUUUUCAGUUUAAUGUUUGAUGUUUCAAUAUAAUAUAGUGUGAACUGUGAGGGGAGGAAAGGACGAAGAGCCAACUCGUUAAGGACACGUCUUUACUGUAACGUGGUUGGAAACAACCUGGAAACAUAACAUUAUUUGUUUAUUGCUAACUAUUUUGCCCUUAACUUGUACUGUACUCAUCAUUGGUUCACCGAGUUACCAACCAACUAUUUUAGUCAAAAACUUAAGACUCAUAAUGUAAAACAAUCUGAUACUCAUAAUAAUCUAGAUCUAAUGUGUGUAAACUUUUGUGGAUUCAACUUUUUUGGCAGUGAAGUGAAUGAAUGGUUGAAUUUUAGAAUAUAUAAUAUAUUUUUUUUUAAUUUCUUUUAUUUUUAAUAAAUUCAUCCCUAUGGAAACACCACUCUCAGUUAAAAAUUUUGAAUUUCUAAGUUGGCAAAUCGUAAAAAUUUAGUCAUUUCCACUAAAUUCAAGUCAAUUCUUAUUGAUGGAGUCUUCGAUAUUUUACACUGUUGUCUUCACUACCACGGUCGUUUGCAUGGACACAUAGGAUGAAUUCUACCUUUUAAACUGAAAUAAAACUUAUAAAUGAUAAACAAAUGAUACGAUAAGGAGAACUUGAAAAACAAAUAUUUUUCGAAAGCCAGUGAAAUCCUUGAUAAGGGUUAUUUUCGUCAACUGAAAUGAUGUGGGAAAAUAUAGAGAUGGGACCCACGGCCACAUGAAAAUGAAAUGAAGGCUGCUUUUAGUUGGAUUUUGUUGGCGUACGAUUGAGCGCCGUUUGGGAUUUGUUUGCUUUCAAAUUAGUGAAAGAAACAAUCUUCAAAUUAAUGUCGCACAUAAUUUAGUUUUUUUUUUAAGAAAAUAUUAACUUGUGUCUAUGGGGCACUAGUUAAGGCUUUUAAAUGGUAAUUUAUACUCCCUUCAUUUUUAUUUUUUUUAAUGUUUUAGAAUUCAACUAUAUUUCAAAACUUUUGUUGUUUCAGUGAAUUUAUUAUUGUUGUAUCAAGUUUUACUCUUGUUGAAAAACACCAUAAACUAUUAAAGUAGUUGUGACUUUUGAUUUAUCACAUGUGAAUUUAAUGAUAAAUAAGAAUAUUUUGGUCAAAAACACACAAAUAUUUAUAUACUUUAAUUACUUCUUAAAAUUUAUGUCAAGAGCUAAAACAUCAAAAGAAAAGAAAUGGAGAGAGUAAUGAAAACAUGUGUAAUCAAUGCAUCGAAAAUUAAAAUAUUUAUUUUUUUUAUAAAAUAAAUUAUUUUUUUAAAAUCCUUAAAUAGUACUACCUCGAGAUACUCGUUAAUAAGAUUUUUUUUUUUGGAGCUUCUAUGAAGAAGUUAGGAAAAUGACUUCUUCGAUGAAGUCGUUUGAAUGGGGUCAAUCAGAUUUUAAGUGAUAACACGUCAGAUGUUGAGACAAAUUCUAAUAUGAUCACUUGCUUCAUAUGUUCCACCAUAGACAAGUUUAUUUCAUGAUCUUAACGGUUAGAUUUACCUGUCUUUGUUAUUGUGGUACACCAUCUACACAUGAUUUUUCUUCUAAUUACAAUUCUCUCUCCCACUCAUUCAUCUCUCAUAUUUAUUUCUCUUUCUUUAUUUGCAUAUUCUCUCUUCGAGAUUUUUUUCAUCAUCUUCAUGAGAGGAAAAAAUCCCAAAAAAUUGAAAUCACAUAACAAAAAUAAAAACAACAGGGAUCGAACCCGCGACCAUAACCUAAUUUAAAGUUCAUUGAACCACUGCGAUGUAUGCAUUCAAAUUGUAAUAUUUUCGCUCUUUCCUAUUUAUAUUAUAAUAACAAAUACGAUUAAAAAAUAAUGAAGUCGUCUUCAACCUCCAGCCGGAUCAUUUUAACCCGUUUUCAGACCAUCGAAACCUGAAAUUAGACCGGGCGAUUUAUACUGAUUUUGAACGACGAAAGUGAUGAUUAUAUAAAUCGUUUUAAAUUAAAAUUGAAAAAAUGGAUUGGGUUAAACAAAUGAGUUGGAUUUAAAUUAGGGUAAUUGACUUUUGUGUUGAGAAGAAAAUGGAGAUGAAGAAAAUAUUGAGAUUCAUGUUAUUUGGAGGUGUAUUUGAGUAGCUAUUUUGUUUUUUGUUCAAUAAAGAAGAUGAAGAAUGUAUGAAGAUGGUGAUGAUGUUCAUAGUCUUCUUGGGUUUAUUUAUUUUUAAUAAUGAAAUAUUUUUUAUAAAAAGGAUUGUCAUAAAAAGGUUUAUUUAAAUAUUUUUUGAAAUAGAAGGAAGAAAAAUUCAAAAAGGAGAAAAGAAAUAAAUAUAGUGCGAAAGGCAACACAAUAACACUAGUGAGGUGUUUAAUCUGAUGGUUCAAAAAAGUUAGUCUACGGUGGUACAUAUUGAGCAGGUACAUGGUAUAUACUAUACAACAGUCAACACACAUGACAUCAUUCAACAACGUGGCACAUUAUUAUUGGAUGUAGGGUGUAACGCCCUCUCUAAUUAUUUGAUUAUUUUAAAUGAGUUUAGAAUAUACUUAUAUGAUUUGUGUGAUUUAUAUGAUUUAUUUUGAUAAGUGAUAUUUUGUUAUGAUAUAUGUUAUAUAUUUAUUAAUAUAAUAUAUAUGUUAUUUGAUUUAGAAAUAUGUAUAUGUUUUAGAAAAAUAUAUGUUAAUUGGUUUAGAAAAUAUAUGUUAAUUGGUUUAGAAAAUAUAUGUUAUUUGGUUCAUAAAUAUAUAUGAUUCGUUUUAGAAAUAAAUGUGAUUUAUUAUAGAAAUAAACGUUAUUUAUUAUAAAAAUAUAUAUGAUUUGUUGCAGAAAUAAAUGUGAUUUGUUAUAGAAAUAAACGUUAUUUAUUAUAAAAAUAUAUAUGAUUUGUUGCAGAAAUAAAUGUGAUUCGUUAUAGAAAUAAAUGUUAAUUAUUAUAGAAAUAUGUAUGAUUCGUUGUAGAAAUAUAUAUAUUCUGUUAUAGAAAUAUAUGUAUGAUUUGCUGAAGAAAUAUAUGUCAUUUGCUGUAGAAAAUAUAAAUGAUUUAUUAUGGAAAUAUAUAUAUAUAUAUAUAUAUAUAUAUAUAUAUAUAUAUAUAUAUAUAUUAGAAUAGAAUAUUGAGAUUUUGGUAGGCAAUCUAAUAUAUUUUUGUACUGAAUAAUAUAUUUUUGUACUUAAUAUGAUAUAUUUUGGUACUCAAUUGAUAUAUUUAAUUACUAGAUCUAACAGGUGCAUUACUUGUUUCCAAAGUUUCUCACUUAUUAGUUGUAAAUUAUCUCUAUAAAUAGAGAACUCACACAGUGCAUUCUACACACCGAAAUUCACAGUUGAUGCUUCCUGUGCUUUUCUUCUCUUCUCCCUCUUUUGACUUGUGUUGACGAGUCUUUCUUCUUUUUCUACUCCUUUCUGUCCCUUCGGAAUUAAAAGUGUUCUUAAGACUAUAAUCCCUCUUAUGUUUAAUGUCCUUUUAAAGAAGAGAAAGCGGUAUAGUUCUUCGUCGAUCAAUCCAAGGUAAGGGUGAGACUAACUUUGCAAUUCUAUUAAGUAUGUGAAUCAAUGGUUAGGUUUAACAUGAUGUAGGAUGAGUUUUUGAGGAAUUGAAAAGUAUGUUAAAAUUGUAGAAUUAAUGAAUAAACGGUGGAAACUUGUUAAAAAGAUGUAGAAACUGUCCUUAGACCUUAGAUAAUGAUUAAAAUAAUUUGAUGAUAUGAUUAAUGAGAAAAUAUUAUAUACUGUGAAUUAAUGAUUAAAUGCAUUACUUGAAAUAUUAUUGAUAUAUAUUGCAUGAAUUAUGUUUGAUGAUUGAGAUGUUGAUGACGUGCAUUUGUAAUUGUUAUAUAUGAUAAUUAUCAUUAUUGAUUGAUGUUAUUUUGUUGUUGUGAUGAAUAUGAUUUACUUUGAUGAUAUGAUUAAUGAGAAAAUAUUAUAUACUGUGAAUUAAUGAUUAAAUGCAUUACUUGAAAUAUUAUUGAAUGAUCAAGAUGUUGAAAUGAAUUCUUAUUAAGUUUGAUAUGAAUUGAUUAUGCUGCAAUUGUUAUUUAACUAAGUUGCAAGAAUAUGAAUAAGUUGAUGACGUUUAGCUCCAAAUUAUUGGAUGCAUGAUAAUAUGUUGAUUACGAUGAUUACGGUGUUUUGUUGUUAAGAGUCCAUGCAUAGCAUUUCAUUGAGCUUUGUCCUCACCACGAUUAGGAGCUUUGUCCUCCGCACGUUUUAGGAGCUUUGUCCUCCGCACGAUUAGGAGCUUUGUCCUCCGCACGAUAAAAGUAUAUUAAUACUUAUGAUGACGAUUGGUACCACAUGCAUAUAAGUGUCUAAGUUGCAUUGUCGCAUUUGUCGAGUCAAGGUCGUUGUUGAUGAAUUAUCAUCCAUGAGUUGUUAAGUUGUCGAUGAAUUAUCAUCUAUGAGUCGUCGAGUUGUCUUCUACCUAUGUGUUGUUAAAGAAGUACCUACGAAGAUUAUACGAUGUUUAUGAUGUGAAUUAUAUGAUGCUGACUAAGAUGUUGCUAUGUUGUUUAACAUGUUGAUUACGAUAUUGUUACGUUGCUAUGUUGUUUAAGAUAUUGAUUAUGAUAUUGCUAUGUUGUUUAACAUGUUGAUUAUGAUAUUGUUAAGUUGUUAUGAUGUUGUAUAUAAUUGUUACUAUUAAGUGAUGGAUAUGUUGUACUAUAUAUGAUUAAUUAUUAUUAAGUGAAUGCUAUGAAUAUGUUGUUGUUAUGUUUUCAUAAGAUGAUGAAUACGUUGUUGUUAUAUUAUUAUAAAGUGAUGAAUAUGUUGUUCCAUAUAUGAUUAAUUAUUAUUAAGUGAAUAUUAUGUUAUGUUAUUGAUGAUGAUCGAACGUUGUGAUUACUUGGUAAUUGUUUAUCAAAGAUGCUAUUGUUUAAGAUGAUUAUGUUUAAGAUGUUUAUGUUAAAGAUUUAUGAUGUUAAUUAUGGUGUUAGUACGUGUUGUUAUAUUAAUAUAAAAUGAUAGAUAUGUUGUUGUUAUAUAUUAUAAGAUGAUGAUUACAUGAUAUUAUCUAUGAGUUGUUAAAUGUACUUGAUGAUGUUUAUGUUAAGUUGAUAAGUUCUUUUAUUCAUGAAAUGAUAAUGAGAUGUUUGAUGAAUAAUUAUUAUUAUGAAUUAAUGAUGUUGUUAUGUUGUAUAUGAAUUAAUUAAAGAUGUUGUUAUGUUAUAUAUGAACUAUGAGUAUGAUGUGAUGAUCUAUGUUGUUAUGAUUUGGUUAAUACGUGUUAUAUGAUUAUGUUAUAAUGUGGUGAAUAUGAAGUAAAUGAUAAUUAGAAGUUGGUUGGACUAUUAAGAAUUAUACGUGAAGAAUUAUUAUUACUAUUAGAUGAAGUUAUUCGUGUUGUUAAAUAUAAUUAUUGAAUUAUAUGCUUGAUAUUAUUGUUUUGUGAAAUCUCACCCCUUCUGCUUGAAAAUGUUGCUCUUCGAAUGAGUAACUUGCAGGUGAUCGAGUUUAAGUUGCUGUUGUGACUGGAUUAGCUCUCAUGUGUGUCUUUAGGUGCUCUGAUACGUAACGGGAUGGGAAUUUUAAUGUUGUCUUUCUAUUCCUUACGUAUUGUUUUUAAGAAGAUUUAUGACUAUGUUUUAGAUUGGAUUAUAUGAGAUAAUUAUGAAGAUGUCUUCGUGCCAAAGACUGUUUUUAGUUAUUAAAGAAAUUCCGCUGCGAAGUAUUAAAGACUUUUUAGUUAUUGAAUUUUAAAGGAUAAAUAUUUAUUUAUUCAGUUUAUGAUUUUAAGAAAAGAAGUGUGACAGUCCGUUUUUGUUAAUUACUCUGAUUAAAUAAAUGAAAUUUUCACGUUGGGAAAACGGGGUGUUACAAUUGGUAUCAGAGCAGGUCGGUCCGUCCGGCCAAUUAGAAGAGUCGUGUCAAGUUUUAGUAAUAGUUGUUGUUGUUGUUGUGUUUCUGAUUAAUAGUUAUGUUUACUAUGUGAUCAUGUUUGGUUGACUAACUUUGAUAUAGUUUGCAUGUUUUGUUGAAGUUUCUAUUUAACUAUAUAUGGUUUAGUAUGGUUAUGCAAUGGUUGAAUUUAUUUCUUGCGUGCUUGAAUUUCGAGGACGAAAUUCUUUUAAGGGGGGGAGAGUUGUAACGCCCUCUCUAAUUAUUUGAUUAUUUUAAAUGAGUUUAGAAUAUACUUAUAUGAUUUGUGUGAUUUAUAUGAUUUAUUUUGAUAAGUGAUAUUUUGUUAUGAUAUAUGUUAUAUAUUUAUUAAUAUAAUAUAUAUGUUAUUUGAUUUAGAAAUAUGUAUAUGUUUUAGAAAAAUAUAUGUUAAUUGGUUUAGAAAAUAUAUGUUAAUUGGUUUAGAAAAUAUAUGUUAUUUGGUUCAUAAAUAUAUAUGAUUCGUUUUAGAAAUAAAUGUGAUUUAUUAUAGAAAUAAACGUUAUUUAUUAUAAAAAUAUAUAUGAUUUGUUGCAGAAAUAAAUGUGAUUUGUUAUAGAAAUAAACGUUAUUUAUUAUAAAAAUAUAUAUGAUUUGUUAUAGAAAUAAAUGUUAAUUAUUAUAGAAAUAUGUAUGAUUCGUUGUAGAAAUAUAUAUAUUCUGUUAUAGAAAUAUAUGUAUGAUUUGCUGAAGAAAUAUAUGUCAUUUGCUGUAGAAAAUAUAAAUGAUUUAUUAUGGAAAUAUAUAUAUAUAUAUAUAUAUAUAUAUAUAUAUAUAUAUAUUAGAAUAGAAUAUUGAGAUUUUGGUAGGCAAUCUAAUAUAUUUUUGUACUGAAUAAUAUAUUUUUGUACUUAAUAUGAUAUAUUUUGGUACUCAAUUGAUAUAUUUAAUUACUAGAUCUAACAGGUGCAUUACUUGUUUCCAAAGUUUCUCACUUAUUAGUUGUAAAUUAUCUCUAUAAAUAGAGAACUCACACAGUGCAUUCUACACACCGAAAUUCACAGUUGAUGCUUCCUGUGCUUUUCUUCUCUUCUCCCUCUUUUGACUUGUGUUGACGAGUCUUUCUUCUUUUUCUACUCCUUUCUGUCCCUUCGGAAUUAAAAGUGUUCUUAAGACUAUAAUCCCUCUUAUGUUUAAUGUCCUUUUAAAGAAGAGAAAGCGGUAUAGUUCUUCGUCGAUCAAUCCAAGGUAAGGGUGAGACUAACUUUGCAAUUCUAUUAAGUAUGUGAAUCAAUGGUUAGGUUUAACAUGAUGUAGGAUGAGUUUUUGAGGAAUUGAAAAGUAUGUUAAAAUUGUAGAAUUAAUGAAUAAACGGUGGAAACUUGUUAAAAAGAUGUAGAAACUGUCCUUAGACCUUAGAUAAUGAUUAAAAUGAUUUGAUGAUAUGAUUAAUGAGAAAAUAUUAUAUACUGUGAAUUAAUGAUUAAAUGCAUUACUUGAAAUAUUAUUGAUAUAUAUUGCAUGAAUUAUGUUUGAUGAUUGAGAUGUUGAUGACGUGCAUUUGUAAUUGUUAUAUAUGAUAAUUAUCAUUAUUGAUUGAUGUUAUUUUGUUGUUGUGAUGAAUAUGAUUUACUUUGAUGAUAUGAUUAAUGAGAAAAUAUUAUAUACUGUGAAUUAAUGAUUAAAUGCAUUACUUGAAAUAUUAUUGAAUGAUCAAGAUGUUGAAAUGAAUUCUUAUUAAGUUUGAUAUGAAUUGAUUAUGCUGCAAUUGUUAUUUAACUAAGUUGCAAGAAUAUGAAUAAGUUGAUGACGUUUAGCUCCAAAUUAUUGGAUGCAUGAUAAUAUGUUGAUUACGAUGAUUACGGUGUUUUGUUGUUAAGAGUCCAUGCAUAGCAUUUCAUUGAGCUUUGUCCUCACCACGAUUAGGAGCUUUGUCCUCCGCACGUUUUAGGAGCUUUGUCCUCCGCACGAUUAGGAGCUUUGUCCUCCGCACGAUAAAAGUAUAUUAAUACUUAUGAUGACGAUUGGUACCACAUGCAUAUAAGUGUCUAAGUUGCAUUGUCGCAUUUGUCGAGUCAAGGUCGUUGUUGAUGAAUUAUCAUCCAUGAGUUGUUAAGUUGUCGAUGAAUUAUCAUCUAUGAGUCGUCGAGUUGUCUUCUACCUAUGUGUUGUUAAAGAAGUACCUACGAAGAUUAUACGAUGUUUAUGAUGUGAAUUAUAUGAUGCUGACUAAGAUGUUGCUAUGUUGUUUAACAUGUUGAUUACGAUAUUGUUACGUUGCUAUGUUGUUUAAGAUAUUGAUUAUGAUAUUGCUAUGUUGUUUAACAUGUUGAUUAUGAUAUUGUUAAGUUGUUAUGAUGUUGUAUAUAAUUGUUACUAUUAAGUGAUGGAUAUGUUGUACUAUAUAUGAUUAAUUAUUAUUAAGUGAAUGCUAUGAAUAUGUUGUUGUUAUGUUUUCAUAAGAUGAUGAAUACGUUGUUGUUAUAUUAUUAUAAAGUGAUGAAUAUGUUGUUCCAUAUAUGAUUAAUUAUUAUUAAGUGAAUAUUAUGUUAUGUUAUUGAUGAUGAUCGAACGUUGUGAUUACUUGGUAAUUGUUUAUCAAAGAUGCUAUUGUUUAAGAUGAUUAUGUUUAAGAUGUUUAUGUUAAAGAUUUAUGAUGUUAAUUAUGGUGUUAGUACGUGUUGUUAUAUUAAUAUAAAAUGAUAGAUAUGUUGUUGUUAUAUAUUAUAAGAUGAUGAUUACAUGAUAUUAUCUAUGAGUUGUUAAAUGUACUUGAUGAUGUUUAUGUUAAGUUGAUAAGUUCUUUUAUUCAUGAAAUGAUAAUGAGAUGUUUGAUGAAUAAUUAUUAUUAUGAAUUAAUGAUGUUGUUAUGUUGUAUAUGAAUUAAUUAAAGAUGUUGUUAUGUUAUAUAUGAACUAUGAGUAUGAUGUGAUGAUCUAUGUUGUUAUGAUUUGGUUAAUACGUGUUAUAUGAUUAUGUUAUAAUGUGGUGAAUAUGAAGUAAAUGAUAAUUAGAAGUUGGUUGGACUAUUAAGAAUUAUACGUGAAGAAUUAUUAUUACUAUUAGAUGAAGUUAUUCGUGUUGUUAAAUAUAAUUAUUGAAUUAUAUGCUUGAUAUUAUUGUUUUGUGAAAUCUCACCCCUUCUGCUUGAAAAUGUUGCUCUUCGAAUGAGUAACUUGCAGGUGAUCGAGUUUAAGUUGCUGUUGUGACUGGAUUAGCUCUCAUGUGUGUCUUUAGGUGCUCUGAUACGUAACGGGAUGGGAAUUUUAAUGUUGUCUUUCUAUUCCUUACGUAUUGUUUUUAAGAAGAUUUAUGACUAUGUUUUAGAUUGGAUUAUAUGAGAUAAUUAUGAAGAUGUCUUCGUGCCAAAGACUGUUUUUAGUUAUUAAAGAAAUUCCGCUGCGAAGUAUUAAAGACUUUUUAGUUAUUGAAUUUUAAAGGAUAAAUAUUUAUUUAUUCAGUUUAUGAUUUUAAGAAAAGAAGUGUGACAGUCCGUUUUUGUUAAUUACUCUGAUUAAAUAAAUGAAAUUUUCACGUUGGGAAAACGGGGUGUUACAUAGGGCAACUUCACCAAAAAAGUUAAUUGAAGGACUUCACCAUAGAAUUUUCGCUUUUUAUUUAUUUAUUUUUUACCAAAAAGGAAUUUAGUUGCUUAAAGUUUAAAGUUUAAACACAACACAAAGUUAAGGCGCUUUGUACAAGCAACCGUUUGCUUAAUGCCAAUGUCAUUAUAAACUACAAUUAUAUCGUGGACCCCACUGCUCCAACAACCAUCCCGCGGUUGAAACUUCAAAGGAACUUUCUGUGCAAUUGCAUUCGUUGGGAGAAAUGAAUACAAUGGUAUGAUGUACACAAUUUUCACUUAUAUUUUUUUGAAAAAAGAUAGGUAGACACCUUUUUUCAUACACCUCUUAUGUACACCCCCAUGUAUUAGGGGUAUUUUAGUAAUUUUACAUUAUAUCACCAUCCUUUUUCAUCUCUUCUUUCAAUGUUUUUGCCACGUGUCACAAAUGUGUAUGGGUGUAAAAGGGUGUAUGCCACCUAAGAUGGUUCAUGUAUAAGAGCUCUAUUUUUUUUUGACUCAGUUUUCACUUAAUCUUGUUGUGUAAGGAUCUAAUGUAAAAUAAUCGAAUCAUCCUUGACUAAAAAUAGUAAACAGUCCAUUCUCCUAGUAGUUCUUUUCUAUCAAAAACCUUAAUUUUCCCUUUUUGCAGUUGUUCUUGUUAUGACAAAUGAUUAAAAAUGUGACUUGACUUGACUUGUCUUUUUUUUUCUUUUCUUUCUUUCUUCCCUUUUCUUGUAUGUUUAAAUUCAUUCUCCAAUUUUAAAUUCUUUUAUGCCAACAGAAUUUAGUGCCUUUAUUUUGUGUAACAAUAACAUAACAAGAUUCUAAUCAUACAUCGAUUUCACAUUACUUACUAAAAAAUAAACAAACAACUAUAAUGCAAUUGCAAUGCACAUACAUAGAAGACUCCGACUUUGAGAAGUCAACAAAAAUACAGAGCACAAAAACUAUAAUGUAAUGAUGAUUGAAUGGGUUGUUGGGGUACAUUGAGCCAUAAAUUGACUUGCAUACCCCUUCACUCCCACAUUAUUUAUUUCACUCCAAUGACGACACAACACAAUUUCCGUAGCCUAUAUAUAGUUAUGUACAACAUGUACACAUGAAUGAACCUCAAUUAUUUAGAUUAGUCCUCGCACUUGUGUAUAUCCGGUGUUGAUGUCAAAUUUUGUGUCCGAUUGAUCAUUUUGGAGAGCUUUUUACUUUCACCAAUUGUGCUCUAUUGAGCAUAGAUGGAAUGAGUUAUUACUUACUAACAAACACUUCUGAUAUAUAAUUUAGGUUUGAAGUAAGAGAAAAGAUAAACAAGAUAUAAUAGAAAAUCAGGUGCUAUUUAUUUGUCCACAAAAAUUAAACAAGCUAGAUACACUGAUACAUUUUAUGUUGCUACGUCAUUUACGGGAGUUUUCUAAAUUUUCAUUCGUUCCAACAAGACAUGCAGACAACUAAUUGCCCACAAAAGUGGGCCAGAGCAAGAACAUUAUAUUUAUUUUUCUGUUUUAAUUUUUUUAGAAUAAACUAUUAGUUUAAUCUUUAAACUAUCACUUUCUCUUCAAUUUAGUGACUAAAUUUUAUAAAAAAAUAAAUAGUUUAUGAAGUAUGUCAAUCCAUCAAUUUAGUUCCUAUGAUUGUUUUUUUUUUUUUUUUUUGUGGUGGUGGUCGGAUUUGAAUCUCAGACUUUACAUAUAUUAUGCGUUGUUCCUACCAACUGCGCUAAACGACUAGUUCAUAUGAUUUUAAUACUAGAGACUAAGCUCAUGGAGUUUUCAUAUACCUUGAAAAAUAAAUUGAUGCAUUUCCUAAUUUUGAGAACUACUUAUUAUAUUUAUAUAGUUUAAAGAUUAAAUUGGAUAGAACUAUAGUUUAAGAAACUACAUCCAUGAUUUAUUCAAUUUUCAAUAAUAUAGAGUGUUGGAGUUUAUUGAAGUAUGGUAAAAGAAGACGGAGACAAACAAUACUAUUAACUAUAGUUAUAGUUCUUCGCAACAAGAUAUAUUAGUCAAAAACAUUUUACCUUGUAUUUUACUUUCUUAUUUUCUCUAACUCCAAUUGGUCAUGAAUGUAUUUGAUCCAAAUUAGGACUAAAUGAAUUCCAGUUUUUACUUAUAUUUAAGAUAUGAUGAAACAUACUCUUGUUUUAAGAUAGUGUGAAAUGUAGUUUAAUAUUUGCUUUGGUGACAAUGAAUGAACCAAGGAUUGUGAGCUGUUUGAGACAGACUUGUGUUGUAGAAAAAUUUCACCUGGUGCCAUUCUUUGGUUGUUAUUAGACAAUGACAUUAGUUUUUCUUAAGUUUUAGAGUUUUCUAAAUUAAUUUUUUGUCCUUUGAUUUGUUCCACAUUUUUUUUAACUAGAAUUCAAAUUUUAAUUUGUCAUAUUACGUUUACCUCAUUUGUUGGGUCCAAUACUUGUUAAUAAAUAAAAAGCGUGAUUUUAUCCCAUUCUAAACCAUUUGAAAGAGAGAGAAAAAGUGAGCUAAGCUAUGGAAUAAAAUGCUUUCAUAUAAAAAAUACCAACAAUGCUAUUUUUUUUUAGGUAUGCUAUUUGAACAACCAUUUUCGAAAUAAUUUAUGAGACAUCUUUUUUUGGUGGUGGUUGGAGUUUGAACCCCGGACCUUGCAUAUAUUAUGUAUUGUCGAUACCAAGGUAUGCUAUUUGAACAACCAUUUUUGAAAUAAUUUAUGAGACAUCUUUUUUUAGUGGUGGUUGGAGUUUGAACCCUGGACCUUACAUAUAUUAUGUAUUGUCGAUAUCAACUGAGCUAAGCUCACGAUGACAACUUAUGAGACAUCUAAAUAUAUAUAUAAAAAAAUGUAGGUAUUGACACAAAAACCAAAAUAAUAGAAAGAUAAAAUAGAAACAUAAUAAGAAUAUGAGAGAUAGUUAUCAUAAGAUAGUUGUAUAAAUACAAUUUCUCUAUUUUAUUAAGAGGAAUAUACCCCACGACCCCAAUACAUCCACAAUCUCAUCAAAAGAAAAUCUCUAACCUAUCCCUCACAACAUUCUUAGAUAAGAGUAUAAGAUAAAGGAGGAAAUAGUGAGAUAUAACCAUAAAGUGUUUUUGAUUGAUACAUCUUGUAACGAAGAAACAUGGUCUGUAUAUAGGCUUUGCUCUGCUUGUCUUGCGCUUCUAGAAACUUGUCAAACAAGAAAGUAAACAAGUGAAGGAACCACCUGCUUGUCUUGAACUUCAAUAAACAAGUUAGUGGCCUUGAAGACUUGUCAAAUAAAAAAGUAAACAAGUGAAGGAAAUCUUGCUCGUCUCGGAGUUCAAGAAACUACUUCCAUUUACUACGCGCCAUCUCAUCCCCCCUUUGACUAUUACUUGUGAAGUAUAGAUACUAAGCCAAAACAAAAACUGAUCUAGACGGCCCCCUAAAAAGCCGUCAUUAGAAAAAUAGAGUUUUGUGAACUUGAGUCAUGGUAGUAUAUCACGUUCAAUUACUAUUUUCCAAUCUUGCUAGAGUCGAUUCUUCAAAAAAAAAAAUCUUGUUAGAGUCACAAAUUAGGAUGUUGUACUUUUUGAUUAUUUUAAUGCAAUUUUAUGUCAUGCAACUUUAGUUGUUGCAAUUAUUUUAUGGUGGAGUUUAUCAUUUGAUAUUAUCAUUUAUUAUUUUAUAAUGCUAAAAAUAGUGAAAAUAAGUUACACAAUUUUUUAGAAAAUAAAAAGUAGAGUAAUAAUUAUGGAAAAUUAUAAGGACUUAUCAUUUAGUCAUUUAAUAUUGAAAAUGAUAAACAAAUAAUUCGGGCAACGCACUACCUAAUCCAACCAUAACUUAAUUAGUAGGUUUAUCCAAACCGGUUCAAUGGUAGAAUGAGUGGUUAUUUUACCUCACCCAAACUGAGUAUCCUAUAUGAUUUAGGUUUGACCAAACCGAGCCCAAGUCGACCCAUGUACACCUUAAGUCAAAUGAGGGAAACAUAAAUUUGCAGUGAUGUUAAGUCAUUUUUAAAAAAACAUCACUCUCUCCUUGCACCCUUAUUUUAACAACAUACACGGAGAGAAUGAUGUGUUUUGAAGAAGGACUUAACAUCACCGUAUCAAAGGCCCUUUUACAUUUCUAAAUGCACUUACACCGUUGCACGACAUUCUUACAACGACUUUAAAAUAUAAAGACACAUAGAGAUCAAUUAUAAUUCGUAGAUUUUAAUGUCUUAAAUUCUUAAAUUAUACAAUGGUAAAGUUUUUGUAAUCUAUGUUAACGGCUAAAUAAUAAAGAUAUGCCAUUCUUUUUAGCACUUAUAUAUAGAUGUAUUUUUUGUAUAAAUAUAAUUUUGACACCACUACUCAAAAAAUUCUAGAAAGACCAUUUCAAAACGAGGGAAACAGAAAUUAACGGUUACAGUUAAGUCCUUCCUAAACAAACAUCAUUCUCUCCUUGCACCCAAAUCCUUCGCCACAAAAAUCGCCACACACUACCCUAUGCAAUUACCCUUCUCCCCAUCCUUCUCCAUACUAAAAUUAGAAAAAUUCAAAAUGUAAGAAACUUCAAUAGGAGGCUAUUUAAGUCAUUCUACAAUCCAACCGUACAUUACCACGUAACUGUACGUCAAACCUGUUCUUAAAAAUCAACACUUGAAACUGACAAGAACAUUCGUGCUUUGUUGUCUUCACGUCAUAAAACCAAAAUAACAAAUCAUGGUUCCUAAAUUUUCUUAUUAUAUAAACUUGUUUUUGUUUCCUAAAUUUCUCAUCAAACUGAUUCAUCUCUAGCUAUCAAAUAUUCCUCUCCUGCUUGUACGUAGCAGGAAAAAUGUUACAUUAAAUAUCCUUUAUUACAAUCUCUCCUUUUUCUCCAACAUUUGUUAAUUGUUUCAAUUAACACCUAUUCAUUAUUUAUAUAAUGGAGAAAAAGGUUGAGAACGCUAUGAUUAGCUAUGAUCCAAAAUCAAAAACAACCCUAGAUCAUAUUCCUCAACCCCAACCCAUUCUCAAGAAGGGAUCAUCAAAAGGAUCUAAGAAUUUCUUUAAGGUCGUUGUAUUCAUGUUGCGAGGGCAUUCUCGUAAAACAAAAUCGAUUAUGCCUAUUGAUAAUGAGUCUAAAAGCAUGUGGAAGAAGCUUUUGGGGUCCAUGAGACCUAUGCACCUUCAAAGCAACCAAUCACCACCGCAAAUUCUUAACGGUGAGAAUAACCAUAAAAAAGUGGUUAUUGAAAAUAAUGUUAAUAGCAUCAUUGAUACUCAAGGAGAGGAUGGGUUUCAUAAUGCAUCGGAGUUUCUGAAUUCGCCGUCUCCGACCAGAAGCUGCCUUGCUUCGGUGGCUAGUAGCCGCUACGCUUCCGCGGUGGGGCUAAGUGAAAUGGUUGAGGAGGAGAAAGAGGAAGAGAUUGUGGAAAAGGAUAAUAAUAAUAAUAAUAAUAAUAAUACUAAUGAGAAUGAUGAUGACAUGAUUGAUGCCGAUGCGGCGGGGCUAAAUGAAAUGGUUGAGGAGGAGAAAAAGGAAGAGAUUGUGAAUAAGGAUAGUAAUAAUAAUAAUGAGAUUGAUGAAGAUGACAUGAUUGAUGCCAAAGCUGAAGAUUUUAUUGCUAAAUUUUAUCGAGAAAUGAGGUUGCAGCGUAUGGAUGUACGUUACAAUGAGAUGAGUAUGAGGUCAUUAGGGUUAUGAUCUAGCUGAUUGCAAUGAUAUUCAUGAAUAUUGUGGUUUCAUACUUUGUCUAAUUGGGCAUGCAUGCAUGGAAACGAGAUCGAUUCAACCUCUUUCAUUCUUUUUGGUUUUUCUUUUGUGUGUAGAAAGAUGGGCCUGUAAACCCUUUCUUAAAAACAUAAAAGAAAAAGUAUAUAUGCGUGCGGAAAAAUGUAUACGUAUAUAUAAAGUGUUGUAACCUUGUUUUUAGAAGAAAAAAAAAUAUAAAGUCUUGCCAAAAUGAUCUCUACAAUUACAUGUUGAUGUAUAUUUGAAAAUAUGGUUAAGUAAGGAAAUGGUUCCCUAAGUAUACAAACAUUUGAUUUUAUUCCCUUAAAAUAUUUCUUAAGCUUUUGGUUCCUCUAAAAAAAAUUAUCCAUAAAAUUAGUCCAUGUUCUCAAUGUAGAGAAUGAACUAAUUUUAUGGAUGAAGAACAAAAAGUCUAAGAAAUAUUUUAGAGGAAUUAAAAUCAAAUGUUGAUAAAUUUAAAAGGACAAUUUAUUUAUUUAACCCUUGAAAAUAGAUUUUUUUUUGUGUGCCAUAAAAUGAAACAAAAAUUGUAAAUCUAUCCUAGUUGCAAACAAAAAUUAUAAAACUACUCUACUUUUGGAAAGUUGACCCCUAUGUCACAAGUCAAAAUUGCGACAAGUCAAAAUUGUGACAUAGGGGGUAUGUCGCAAGUUUGACUUGUGACAUAGGGUAGGUCGCAAGUCAAACUUCUGACAUAUGGGUUAACUUUUCAAAAGUAUGGUAGUUUUGGAAUUUUUGUUUCAACUACGGUAGAUUUACAAUUUUGGUUUCAUUUUAGGGGUCACAUUUUUUACUUUAUUAUAUAUUAAUUAAAAUUGCUUAUAUAAUAAUCCUCCCUAUACUUUGAGAGACGUUACAGAUUACGAGAAUCCUAUGUCUGAUGGAUUGUUUUUUGAGCUUAGUCACCUAGGGGUGUUCAAACCGAACCCACCCAAUAAAAAAACAGCAAACCAAACCAAUCCAAACCGAAACCACAAAAAACCGUACUUGGUUCGGAUGAAUUUGGAUGACUUUUGCACUGAACUGCGCGGUUUGGUUCGGUUUGCGGUUUGCAUCUCAGCAACCGAACCAAACCAAACCAAACCGCAAGAAUAAUGAAUAUUACUUAAACAUGUACUAGCCAAAUUACAUAGCUCACGAAUAAUCUUUUUCGAUUCGAUUUUUCCAUUGUUGCACCAUCAGGUUCGAUUCUAAUUCCUUUCCAUCUCUUUCAAUUCAUUUCCAAUGAUGAAUUUGUUUCCUUUAUUUCCCAAUAAUUUGUUUCAUGCUUAUGUUUCUUCUUAAUUUUACCUAUUUUGAUAUAAGUUUUACCUAAUACUUUAUCAAUAUAAACAACAAAAUAAAAUGUCCUAAGUUUAUUUGGUAACAAGUUGGCAAUAUUAGAGUUAAUGUAAUAUUUUUUUAUCACACGAUAAACCGCACAAACCGAACCAAUCCAAGCCGUAUUGGUUUGGUUUGGUUUGGAUGACUUUUUAAAAAUCAACCGAACCAAACUAAACCGCAUGCUUUUUUAUCUCGCAGUUCGAAUGACUUUUGUGCUCAAAACAGAACCAAACCGCACCACGAACACCCCUAUAAUCACUUUAGAAGUGGGUCGUGAGGAUGUAAGGGACUGAGUCUUGGGUUAGUAUAAAUCUUUAAGAGAAGACUGAUGAUUAAUCUUUUAGGCUAUUUUUUUGAGGGAAUUAAUUUUGAAGAAAUUGCUAUGAUUUUGAUUGCACGCAAUUCUAUUUCCGUUUAUUGUGUUUUAGAUUUUGUUGUGGAUCAAAUUAAGCAAUUUUUUGAAACUUACACUUUUAAUGAACUUUUUAUGUGCACCUUUUAAUUUGAGAAAAUAAACCAACAUUUAAUUUGAUGAUACCAUAGCUUACUAAGCUACUUCGAUCAUUUCUUUGCUACUCAAAGUGUCAAAUAAUAAUUUUUUCAAUAUUGAAAAAAAUAAGGAACAACCAUUCUAUGAAACUCACUUGGAUACCUUCUUCAUUAGAGAUGCUCAAUUAUAGUACCCAAAAGAACUUAAAUGAGACAACACAAGUAUUUCAACUUAAACAAAUGUUUCAAAUUUGAACUCUAAAAAACUACUCUCUCGGUCAUUUUUAUAAGAGAUAAAUAAGUCAAUCAAAGUUGAUGUAUUUGAUCUACAUUAUGAACCAAACAUCAAUUGUGGUUUACCAAUUUGUCUCUUAUAAAAAUGACCGAAUGGAGUAUUGGCAAAAAAAAAAAUUAUCAUAGCUAGUUUUGUCGCCUAAGAUUGCAAUGCUUGAAUCUUGUUGAAAAAGUCUAAGACAACUCACACAAAUACACCAUAAACGAAGUGCUAGUUAAAUUUUCUUUUCAAUAUUCUUUCUAACACUCGGCCUUGAAUCAAUGUAAGUAUGUUUGUUUUGUCAAAACAAAAAUUAAGUAUAUUUUUUAAUAUAAAAUAAAAUUAAGUAUCUUUGCCCGUUUUAUUUGAGGCCAAGUUUUGGUGCAAUGAAAAUUGGUGCAUUCAUGGGUCGACAAACUCGAGAGCAGCAAUUAAGAUCGAAUAAUUUAGAUUUUCUAGCUCAAAAUUUUACAUUAAAAAAAAAAAUUGUGUUGAGAUUUGAACCGUCAUAAUUGGACAGUUUUGAAGUGUGACUAUACUUGACUACAUCCAACUUGACCUCACUUAAUUGAAUUUCACGUUAUAGACCUAAAGUUUCCAAUGACUUUGGUAAGCUCUGGGAUAUAGUUCGUUAUUCUCUUUCUAAAACAAAAAUCAUUGCUCACACUUUUUUUGAAGUUCAAAUUUGAUGGAUGCCGGUUGAUACAAUUAAAUCAAACACUAGUUUAACAAACCCUACAAUACAAUACAACCUUAAACCCACAAACAAAUUAAAACUUUUGGAUCUAAUUUGCAUACAUCUAUCGUAAAAUAUCUUACACAUCCAUUCAAUGAAAUCAUACCAUACGGUGUUAUAGAACUAAUCUAUAAAAAUAGUGAUAGAAUCAUAGAAAUGAAUCUCAAAUUUUAUUACUCUUUAGAACCAUACAUAGUGAUGUGUCCAUAUGUCUCCUAAUAGAAGAAAUCAAAGUCAAAGAGAGAGAUUGAAAAUUGAUACCGGGUACCAAUUAGUACCCAUGGACAAUCCGAGAACAAGUAUGUUUGAUCCAUCGGAUCCCAUUCCGAAACGUAGCCUUAACCUUACCUUCAACAGCAUAAACUUUAUACCUCGCUAUUCUCUUUCUCCUCUUCGUUGCCGCGUCGUUGAAGCUCCAUGGCUUCGCCACCGGUGCCGCUCCGUCGUGACUCGCUCGAGUCACCUCACCAGUUGACUCACUCCGACCCACGUAGUAGCUCUGACUGAAACCGUAGCUUCUCCCGCUCACUAUCUCGAUUCUUCUUUCACUUCCGAAUGAACCAUGAUCCGACCCGUACCCGUACCCUUCCAUGAAGAAUCAAGAUGAAGAGGUUUUAAACAAGUGGUGAUUUUAAGAUUAGGGUUUUGUAAUAAUUAUAAUUAGAGAAGGAAUUGAAAAUGUGUAAUAUUUAUAGGGAUGGAUGGAUACAUGGAAACGAAUGAGUGGUUUCCGAGCUGGAAAACUGGGAUAGUGCUUUCCAUUAUACUAUUUAACAAAUAAUAUAUAGUGUUUGUUAAUUUCAUUUUUAUUAUCAUCACUAAUCACUAAUUCAUAUUAUAGUAUUGAAAACUUUUAACAACAUUCUGACUUUCUAUAGAGAAUAAUCAAUUUUCUAAUGUUUAACAUUAAUUUAUAUGGGAAGGUCUUGUGUUUGAACCUACAUAUAAGAUAAUAAAGUUUAAUUUGUCGGUUUAUUUGUGUACAAAUAUAUGAUAUCAAAGAUUAUCAACCAAAAAAUAUAUGAUGGAAAAAAUUUUUUAAAUUGAAAAUGGAAAUUAGGGUGGGAAUAAAAUGGACACAUAGAAUGUGUGUUUGGAAUGAUUAGCUCUUGAUCAUUGUAUGGGAGGUAGGCCAAGUUUUAAGUAGCCAGCCAAAUAGACACUGGAAAGUGGAAGAGAUGUAAUGAUUAGUUCAAAUGGACAACUUAAAGUCAUCCAUCAUGGAUCACAAAUUAAAUUAAAUGACCUUUAACCUCUUAUGAAAUCGGUCUUUUCAAGCUAUCAAUUAAAAAGUGGUAAUAACCUACUCUUUUUAACUUUUCAUUGUUUUAUGGGUUAUUGUUUUGAUUAUGUGAUUUUAGCAGGUGAAAAGGUUCUAUCGGUACAAGACUUUUUUCUCUCCUUGAGCACAACCAACAAAGAAUCUGUUGUCGUUAACAUGAUCUCUCUCUUGUUCCGUCGAAGUAGCUCUGGUCUACCAACAUCGGGGUUUGCUGUUCAGAGAUAUGAUGUUUUCAGAUUGUAUUGUAACACUUUUAGGGUUGUGAUGUUAGUAUUGGUGGGAAAAAUUCUUUUCUAGGGUUAAUUUUAGCCUUGUGUUUGGUUUAUUGUUAUGUUGUUUUGCUUCUCUUCUUCCUAGCUUGCCAAGUUUACCGUGAUUUCGUAGAUGUAUAAGGCCCCGUUUGGAUAAACAGCUUAUAUAGAUGCUUAUAACAUUAGUGCUUAUAACAUUAGAGCUUAUAUCAUAAGCUCUUAUACUUGAUAAGUUAUUUAUGUUUGGAUAUGUACACUAAAAAGUACUUACAUAAAUUGAAGUGUUUGGAUGUGACAUUACAUAAGCAAUUAUCGAAAUUUUAAAUAUUUUUAACUUAACAAAAAAAUCCAAGAAUUGAACCACAAUUAUCAAGAUUUUUUUUGAUAAAAUUAAUCAAGGCGUAAAAAAACAAUAUUAUAACAUAUUAAAUAUAUAUAUAUAUAUAUAGUAUAAUCAAUUUGUCCUUAAAAAAAUAUCAAUAUUCAUAUAUGACAAAAUUAACAUUAGAGGUGUAAAUAAACAUAUCAUAUAUAUUGAUAUUAGUUUGCAGUUUGUUACUCAAAAAAGACAAGUUAAAUUUGUUUUUUUAUUCAGUUUCAUUUUGUUACAUAACAAAAAAAAAUAAUAAAAAUCUUCUUAAAAAAAAAUCUUAGUUGCGUUUGUUACUUUAGUAAGAUAAGUAUAUAGCAAUUUUGUUACUGAUGCACCGCCAAAGAUAACUAACAUUAUAAUUAAAAUAUUCCUUCAAAAAAAUUAUAAUUAAAAUAUAUGUUUUGAAAAAGUGGAUCCAGAGAGAAUCGAAGGAGGUUACAUAAAUUCAUAAGCUCCUUGUUAAGCCAGAGGGUAAGCUGAAAAUUUAGGCUUAUUAAAAUAUGGCAUAAGCAACUUAUGAAACUAUGAUAAGCUAUUUUUAUUUAUUUACCCAAACACCUUUAAAAAUGCUUAUGGGAGUAGAUAAGCCCACAUAAGCUCAAAAUAAGCCAAUCCAAACGGGGCCUAAGUCAGGAGCGAAUAUGGUGCUUUAGAGUUUUAUCUGUUUGAUUUUGCAAAAUUCUGUACUUUACCCCAAUAGUGGAUAGUGAUCUGCACAUGGUGUAAUUUGUGCUGUUACAGCUUAUUGAAUGAAUGAAAUAUAUUUUCGACCAAAAAAAAAUUAAAUUAAAUGAGUAAUUUUGUCGGACAAAAUUUAGUCACUGAGAAUAUAAAUCUUCUGAAUUAGAUCCCGAACUUGAUGCACUUGGCAUCAUGUUACUUAAAAGUCGUGUUUGUUAAGUGUAAUAUCCAAAAUUUUGGUUGGAUAUCUUGGUCUUGGAAUGAAGAAUACAACAUGAGUAAACCAUAAAUUUAGUCUCUAAUUGGAUUAGAACAAGAAAGGAGAGACACUAUAUAUUUAGAGAAAGCACACACUCUUUGAUUUCUAUAAUUUGAAUGAUCAAAAUACGUUAUAAACUCCUAUUAAUUUAUAGGAAAAGAGAAGAUAAAAAAAAUUACAUGCAACAAGCCAAGUGUUAUUCAUUCAACAAAUCAAGUGUAUCUCAUACAAUAAGCCAAGUGUAUCACAUGCAAGAUAGUAAUGUGUCAAUGAUGAUGGAUCCUACAAUGAUGGACCUUCACCACUAACUUUAGAAGACGUCUCAAACUAGUCUUUGAUAUUGAAUAUUCUAAAUAAACUUAUUCAAUAUGAAAUGUUAUUUAAGUUUUGUUUAAAUGCAAUUUUGAUCCUUCUAUUUAUGAAAAAACCGCAAUUUUAAUGCCCUAUUUCUAAUUGCAAUUUUGGUCUUUCAAUAUUAAAGUGUUUUCAAACUCGAGAUUUGUGAAGUAAGGUUCAUAACUUCAUCUUUUUGUAAUUUAUUCUUAUAACAUCUAGUAUGUUUGAUGUCAUAUCAUUUAAAAGCUUCUCAUGUCACUAAUUGUGUGGCAAAAAAUAUGAGUUAAGAUUAAAAUAGCAAGAAGUGUGAUACUUUAGGAGAUAAAAAAUACAAUUAAACCUUAUCAUUUAUAAGUAGGAUUAGAAAGAAAUUAUCUCCACCUAAUUACUCGAAAUGUGCACUCCAAAUAAAACACAUUUUCUUCCGUUUAAAAAUACAUUUUCACUUUUGAACGGAAGUGAAAAUAAAAGGAGUAAACAAAUAUAGUACCUAAAUCUGCAACAAGAGAAUGUAUAAAAAUAAAAUAAAAAAUCUACAACAAGAAAUGUAAAGAACCUUUAUUUCUUCGCUAUCAUUAGAAUCGCUUUAAUACAUACAUAACACUAGUUCUAAUGUAUGUUAUACAUGUACUAAAACGAUUUCAAUGAUAACGGAGAAACAAAUAGGAUUCUUUAUAGUUUUAGUGUAUGUUUGGAUUCACGGUAACAAAUAAAUCGGUCUAGUUGUAACUUAUAAUGAAGCAUGUAUAUGUCGCAGACCAUAUUCAACUUACAUAUAGCUACUACAAGGGUAUAUAUAGUAACAUAUUUCCAAGCAAACUAAGCAUCUGUGUCAUCAACAACCACUUUGUAUGUGACCUUACUAAGCCUGCUUGGUGAUAAUGUCUUGGAAUCAUUGCCUCUAGUUUUUCUGCUUCCACUGCGUUGAAAACCACUAGAACCGUACACUGCUCUGAAUGCCAAUGCUUUUCCAAAGUGAAAGUUUUCAAGAUGUUUAAUGUUUGAUGAUCUUUCAACAUAAUCGUCGUCAUUGUUACCUGAAAUCUCAGCAUUUCCUAUCUUAGUAUCCAUUUUUUCCUUUGAAUAUUGGAUGAUAGGUGAUAUUAACUUAUAUAGUUUGGAAAAGAAUAGAAAAAGGAAACAAUUAUUGAGACUGUUAAAUUGUCUCUUAUGAGUUUACUUUUGGGAACGACAAGGACAGUGUUAAAGAUGCCAAAAGAUCCAAAGAAACAGAGAGAACUAAUACCUGUAGAGAGCUCUUUAAUCUUUAUUUACUACUUGUAAGAUUCUUUUACAACUUGUCUUCAACUUGAAGAAACCAAAUAUAACAUUUUAGGUCCUAAACAAACCACAAUGUGAACAAACAUGUUAAUUAUAUCUAGAAAGUUCCCUAUACAUAAGCACACAAAGUAGCAGACAAAAUUGGAUUAAUUGCUUUUGUUUCAUUCUUUUUCUUUGGCCCUGAUUGUUGUUAUCGUUGUUGAUUGGAGUUGUGUUUGUAUUUUAUAGGCAUCAAUCUGCUUCAUUGUAAUUUAUUUUGAAUGGGAACAAUCGAAAGGUGAAGAAAUCCAACUAUAAGUAUACAUUUCUGAUUUCUAAAUGUUGUAUGUUCACAUCAAACUAAAUGGAAAUCAAUUGAUAGAAUAAGAAAGUAUUUUGACACCAAAGAUAACAAAUUUCGUAUUUUCCCAUUUCUCUCCUGCUUUUUUCUUUUUAAACAAAGUAUAGAGAAGAGAAUAGCUUCGAUCAUAGACUUUCUUGUACUGUCUCUAUCUUAAACACAAUUUUAAGUGAAAGCAAAUUGUGCAAUUCACAAUACUAGAUUUCUUGAUGCUGAUACAAUAAAUUGUCUCAACUCAUGUGCUCCUUUCACACAGCUGGAAAGGUGAAACCAACUGCAUGUUCAUCACUGAAAAACUAACAGAAUCAUUGAAAUUUAUUUUAAUAACAAAUUUGUCAAUUGUCAUCACACACACUACAAAAAUAAGAACAAAAAAGCCUGAUUCCACCACUCGAGGAACCCCUAGUCACCUGUUUGAUUAUGUUUAAGAUUUCCACCAAAAGAUUCUAAGUAGAGAUGUGGUGUUUCUGUCUCUAAUUAUUUGUUCAAUAUUGCUUUUGGUGUUCUCUACACUAACAAUCCUCAACAAUUGGCCUUAAGAUUGUCAAGACACGAUAAUGGGAUGAGUUUUAGACAUUCCGAUGGUAAAGCUAGGAAAGACAACUUUGGCAUGUUGUUAUAUAGGAGAAUCAAGAAAAACAACCAACAAGAUAUGUGCUUGCCAAGAAAGCAUUGCUGGUUUCUAAUAGAAGAUAUCUACAAGGAAAGUAAAUGUACAUGUUAUUGUCUUUUGUAUGAUUGCAUCAUUUGUUACAAUUUUAUAUAUAUCCCUUUCUUGUGGAGGAAACCAGCCAAAAGACCCCAGAAUAAAAUCUCAAUUAUUACAAAGGCCAGUGUACCCCACUUCUCGGAAUGUAAUAUAUUCUGUAUUAAAGCUUCACUGGCGUCAACCUGCACGUAAAUAAAAAUCUAACGUUGGUUCCUAUUCGGUAAUUUUUUUUUUUACGAAAAUCAAAUUCCUGCUUAAUUUAUAAAGAAAGGGUAGAUAUAAAGAACCUUUGGAAAAUAAACAUUACCAAGUUAUUUUCAGGAGAGCGCCAAUAGAAACCCUGGAUAACUGCUGGGAAAAUGUCACAAGCAGCCAAUGCAUAUACGAUAAGGGCGUUCAUUCCCAUCCAUUGCAGUAAAACUGUAGGCUUUCUGAGUUGUUUUAUGUCAACCUGCAACAGUAUAUGAAUUUGAAGGGUUUUAAUCAUCUGUCGUGAUCAGAGUCGCCAAGUGGUUGAGCACUAGAGCUACCACUUUUCACUCCUCGUGUGAAAACCUAUAAGCAAAUUAUAUGCUUUUCACCUUGGGAUAUAAUAUAUCUAUAUAUACAUUAUGACCCAAGUACGAACUUACAAUGUAGUAUAUAGCAGUCAAAACCAAGCCCGAUGCCCCGGCGGUGAUGAACAUGAAGCUUAAUGUGUACAGCGCUUUUGAUAAAGGAAUUCCUGAAAAACUUCACAGUUGUUAGUUGGAGACUCAAAUGUAUCUCAAUCUUGAGAAAUUUAAAUUAGAUGGUCAUAGUACCUAAAAUUUCCAGAACAUAUCCGACUACCAAUAGAGAGAAGGAAAACACGGACCAAAGGAGUACCCUCUGCUUGUGUGCCUGUAUGGAAAAAACAGUAGUUGAUAUAGUUUUAGACACAUCUCAGAGACAAAUUAUAUGUCACUAGGAUUGGAUACUUGUACAUCAGACCUGAAAAAUUACAAGUAUAUGCCCAAAUUGCAAUCCCACGAAACAAGUAAUGGCAGCCAUCAGUGAACUGGAAGAUUUAGUAAAAUAGUUAGCAACCAAUGCAUUAACGAAAUUUAUACUGUCAAAUUUGGUCACAUUUGAAGGGUCAGAUCCAAUAACACAGUAUAAACUAUGAGAUGGUUGGCCCAAGCUCAAUCUCAGCAAAGUGGGCGCAGUCUGAAUUUGGACUAGCCCAAUGGAAAUUCUAAAUGACUGAUAACCCAGUCAAGCCCAAGAUGAGAUCCCUACUUCUAAGAAUCACUAAAAUUUCCUGUGUUAUUUGACUGAAGAUAGUUAAUGAAAUAAUAGAUCACGAAAGAUAAAGAUACAUGCAUCAGAAAGUGGUUUGAAAAAAAAAAAAGAUGAACAUAAGGCAUGCAAGGUACACUGCGGAGCUGAAAGAAAUAAAACACCUUGACUAUAGCAGUAUGGAUAUUUAUAUCACCCUAGAUUUCAAUGCCAACAAUGACUCACAAUGAAAAGGAAAAGGAAAAAAGAGGAGAGAGCUGAGAAUACUAUUUACCUCAAAAUACCCUCCGGGUCAAAUGGUGCAAGGCACCAUCCAGGUGAAUCUGGAGGCAAGGGUCCAUAAUCAGGAGAAUUGACACUGCACUCCUGAAAAUGAAAAGAGGUCAACAAUAAAAUUAUUUAAGGGGAUAAAACAAAUUAUUUUUGAGGUGGCAGUAGAUUGAUUCAAUACAGGAAUUACGCUAGAGGGUAAAUAACCUUUGUUCUUCUGUAGACAGGACGCUGGUACAUAUGAUCUUCACCAAGAAUUAAUCUAUCAAUAAAUCCCACAGCAUUACAAGGAGGAUCAAGGCUACCCCUCAUAUCACAAUGAACCUGGAGAAAAAAUAUUACAUGCCGAGUUUAUUCUCCAUGAAAAAUAAAAUACAAAACAAAAACAGUGAAAAUCAAAGCCUUUCUUUCGACUAGGUGGGGAGAGUCAUAAAAUGAAAAUAACAACAUAAAAAGUGGCUAAAAUGAAAGUAAAAUUCAAGAAAACUAAGACACCAUAUUACAAGAGGCAAGAAAAGAAAUAUGAAAUAUCAUGAUGUAUCGCUGCAUGCAUACCUCUAUAUUCUCUUCAUAUUAUUAUUUUCCUAGUCCAGACAUUAUUAUUUUCAUGUCCAGUAAGCACCUUUCACAUUUCUUACAUAGCACCACCUAGUUUCGCUGCAUUGGGAUAGUAGUAGCACAUAUCUUUUUCUAGUGAUCGUUAUAGGGAUAAUGAAACCAAUGAUAGAGUUGACCUAGCCUAUGGGUACUGAUGCUGGUCUAUGCAGAUUCAUCAAUGCAUGAAAUGCAAACCUAAAAUUCCUUUUUUUUUUAAGAAAUGAGAAGGCGUGUAUUAGGCAAAGAGAUCAUUCAGUGUUUCUUCAAAUACAAGGCUGAAGCCUGCAGACCAUACUAUAUUACAGAACAACUAAAAAGUGUAUGGGCACUUUAAAAAAAAAAAAAAAAAAAAAACUUAACAAGUGUACCGGCCGGAACUAUUAGCAACAAGAAACCAAAUUGCAUGUUAACUCCAUCUAUUCCUUCAGUACUCAAUGAAGGAAUCUCUGAAAGCAUAAAUAUUCCUUCAGUACUCAAUGACACAGAGACAAAACCAUGCCAACUCACAUUUUGAAUAGUUGAUACACGACCAGGCCACAACAAGUUAGAAUGUUCGAACUCCCAAUUUGGAACAUAGAGGCCAUAGAGCAAGCAAAGAUAUACUGAGCAAAGUAAAAUUGAAAAAAUCCUGGAUAAAAAAAAUAAGCAGUUAGCACAAAGAAAGAAUAUCAUAAAGCAAACAAAAUUGGUGCCGGCAGAAGUUUAAUUUGACACUUGACAUAGCUAUCUUGGAUCUAUCAAAGUGACCUGAAUCAUUUUAAUAUAAGUUGUCUCAACAUAUCUGAAUACUUAAAAUCAAUUUCGAAAAUGAAAUUUUUAAUUGCCAUGCUCAGCUCCUAGGUGUUAGAUGAAACAUUAACCGCCACAAAAAUAAACUAACCACUGGAUGGAGUAUUUCCUGACAAAAGCUGCUGGUGAAUCAACCAAAAUAUUACCGUUCACAAGCCAAAUCUCUGACAUUGAGGCCAAGAAAUAUCCAAUGGAUAUCCUCUGCAUACCAUGCAAGGAAUUGUGUGUUAAAUUAGCAACACAUUUACAAAACAAAAGCAACAGGCAGUUGAUUAUUUUAUUUAUUGUGACCUUUUUUCAGUUGCAACUUCAAUGUCAUACCAUAAAAGAAAAACCAAUUUCAAUGAAAUAUAGUAAGCAAAUAACUAUUCUGCCGAAUGCAAAUCUGCAACCAGCCUUAAGUCAAAACUUCAGAGAGAAAACUUUGUAUUAACUUUUCCUCAAAACAAUACAACAGGCGCUGGUAUUAACCGUCAUGUAGUGACACUAUAAAUAUACUCGGUUUGUUUUUCUUAUUAACAGCAUAUAUCAAAAAAGUUACGGCAGAAAGUAUCAAUGAGUUUGAAACUGUUAAUAAUCAGUGGCACAAAGUAAAUCAAAGAGAUUAUAACAUGUACAACAAUAUUAUAAAAUCUCCUGGAUUAGAAAUUAGCAGCAAUGAGCAAUGCUAUACCGUCUAGAAUUGAAAAAAAAGAAAAAAAAGCCUAAUAAGUUAAAUUGUAAGGAGUACCGGUUGGCAUUACCUGAAGUACACCAAACCAGCGUAACUUGGUCAAAUCAAGUCCAUAAGUUAAAUUACCGCGGCCAUGGAAAUACCCACCUAUGAAUAAGUUUGAGAAAGAAACAUUAAAGCAAUAGCACACACAUACAGAUAGUACAUGAUGAGAUCAUACCUUGUAGCAAGAGGCCCAAAAGAAAAAGCUUAAUCGUCCUCGAAAUUAUCUUUUUUGUGGCAUUUUGUUUGCUAGAGACUUUCUGAAAGGCUAUCGAAGAAUUAGAAUAUUGUUGAGAAUUCCAAGAUAAGGCAAUAGCAGGAUUGAAAAGAAGUUGUACCUUGAAGACCAAAGCGAUGGAAACGCCAACCCCAAAGAGAAAAAAAGGCAUUACAAAAUCCGCAAGUGUGACUCCAAACCAUGGAGAAUGAUUCAAGGAUGGGAAAGCCCGUCCAACAUCAUCCACUAAUAUCAUCAGCUGGACCAACAUAAGAGUACAAUUAAUUAAUUAAUUGACAAUCCAGUUGGAAACUAACAUAGAUACUAAACUAACUCACUCGAACUAUUUUAUUUUCAUUAAUAAAAAUGAAGUAAUUGAAUAGAAUGAAGAGAGAACGAACCGCAACAGUGAGACCACGGAAGACAUCGAGGGAAACAAGGCGUUGAUUAGGAACCGAGACAGGUGGCAAUUCAUUUUCAUGGACGGUGAGGGUGAGAAUUGAGGAAUCGAUGAGAGGUCUUCUUUCUUCUUCUUCUUCUUCUGCAUCGUGUAUUUGAUUUUCACUUGACAUUUCCGAUCACCGAUUUUUGUUUUUCUUUCCUCACUUAGGCUGGCUACAAUGAAUGCGUGCGAAAUUUCGUUUUUCUCUCUUGUAACUACACUGUGUCAACUUCAUUGAAAUUUUGUUUCAAAUUGUCAACUUUUUUAUAAAAAAAAAAAAAAAAAAACAAAAAUUUAGAUAAGGAAAGGCACACCUCAUGUCAAUACACAACUUUAAUCAUUAAUAUAUUUAAUUAUAUACGAUAAAAAAUUAUAAAAAUUUGAAAAUUUUCAUUGAGACAAAUCAAACAUUUUGUAUUUAUAGACCAUCGACCCGCGCUAACGCACGGGUCAUAUCGAAUGUAAUAUUUGACGAUAAUAGGUAACAAAGUACUUUAGAUGAAUGUCAUAAUUGUCAUAUAGUAUUUCAUAAUAUUAAGAAACAUAAACGUUGGUACGGUACCAUAACAUAAUAUUUCCAUGACAUCGUCCUUGGUACCGCAACGUAACAUAAUAGGUUAAAUAUAGCGAGCCGGGUUAACAUUUAUAAGUAAGAGAUUAGGUUGAGUAUAGCGAGACGAGUUAACGAUUAUUCCUUUCCAAAAAAUAGCAUAUAAUUAUGAACAUAAUUUUAUUUUACUUUAGAUAAACAUUAAAUGCAAAAGUGUGGAGGAAAAAUUAGGUUAAAAUUGGGUUACGUAUAGCGAGACGGAUUAACGUUUAUAAGUAAGAGAUUUUACUUUAGAUAAACAUUAAAUGCAAAAGUGUGGAGAGGAAAAUUAGGUUAAAAUUAGUUUAAAUAUAGCAAGACGCGUUAACAUUUAUAAGUAAGAGAUAUAUUAGUUAAAAAAAUAUAGCCAAAAUAAGCUACAUGAAUAGUGCAUAUUAUAAAAAUGCAUCAUGUAUUUUGAAACGGAUGAAGUAUAUUGUAGUCAAACCACAAUUAGUAUUAACAAAAUAUCUAACUAAUGUUAAGUUCAUCUUUCGGUUGGCUAAGCCUAUGUGAAACAAAAAAAAAUUAGGGUCAUGUGAAAAAGUGUCUUGUUAAAAAGUCAAAAAAAGGAAAUAAGUUUUAAGUAGAAAAGGUCAAUUUCAAAGGUUUUAAAGUGUUGAAUACACAAUUUUUAAGCUACAAUUUGUUUUUUUUUUUUUACCUUUUUCAACAAGUGUCUUAUGUUUGUAUUUCUCUAAAAAUUAAAAGUGAAAUUCUAAUUAACUAGGUAAAUCACAAAUUGUAAUCUUAGGGAGAGGGCAUCUCUAAUAUAGGAAAUUAACAAAACUAAAUAGGUGAGUCCUACCUUGGUUUGGUACAUUGCAUAAGAACACUUGGCUUCAAAGAUAAAAAUAAAAAAAUAAAAAAAAAAUAAAAAAAUUGCAACAAAAAUGCGAUAGCUGCAGAGAAGAUUGAUAGCACAAAACACAUUGACAUUAACAAAAAAAAAAACAAUAAUAUCAAGAACAUGUUGUAUUAUCCUUGUAUGUGGCACAUGAUUUUACCAUAAAAAUAAAUUAUUAUUAUAUUCAAUAACCAUAUUUAGAACAUGCAUUGAUAUGACCUUAGUGUCAUAAUAACAUUUCAAUUAUAGUGAUCCUUCAUUGUUAAGCAUUUAACAAUGGUUAAUAGCAUGAUGAAAAUCAAAUAUACAUCUCUAAAUUUAUAAAAGCUUCUUAGUACUGCUUCUCAACAGUUUGAUCUCCUGUUAAACCACAAUCAGACAUAAGUAUUACAUCACUCUUAUAGGAUCAAAAGUACAGUUAUUAAUCAAAUACAAGCUAGCUAUUUACUGGUUUUCACAUAGUCUUCUCUUGGUCAAAUUAACCAUAUAACAAACUUUAUUAAUUCAAACAAAACAUUGUAUCCUCAAUCUUCAUAGCUGCUCCAUCACCAUUAUUCUUUCUGUCAAUUUAAUAUAGCGCAAGUUUCCCUUCAACAUCCAAAAGCUUACCCAGUUUCUCUGAAACCGCGGCCAAAGUUGUCUCGCUCUUGCAGAAUGCAAACCUGAUGUAUCUCUUCUGGUAGUUACAACUUGCACUAGAAGUUUCAUUUGUUGAUAGGUUUGUAUGAAAAAAUCCCUGUCCUGGAACAGCCACCACCCCCGCUUCUAGUAUUAACUUUUUAACAAACUCUACCUGAAACCCCAAAAAACAUUUAUUGCAUGAAGCAACAGCAGAAUAAGGUAUAAAUCUCUACUCAAAUGCAUUGUGACACUUAAAAUAGUUCUUAAACUAAUCUACACGAGAUCGAGAAGAGAGUAAAAGAGUGCACAUACAUCAGAAAGGGGACAAUCCUCAGGAAGCUCGGCAAAUAAGAAGAAGGAACCCUGAGGUAUAAACUGUAUCUUAAAACCCACUCCCGCAAGCAACUUAAUGAUAUAAUCUCUUUUUGAUUGAUAAUCCUGCAUAGAUAGAAACAUCAGGACAAAUGGCCUAUUUGAAUUGGCUAAUUUGAGCUUAUUAUCUACCGGCACAAGUACUAGGGAGAGCUUAUGAAAACAGCUUUUGGCAUGUCCAUAAGCUGUUUUCAACUUAUUUUCAUAUGCUCUCUAUGGUAGCUUAUGAAAACAGCUUAUAUCUUAUAUGAAGAUUGUUUGACUUAAUUUCCUCUUUUGUUGUGGAAAUAGUUUAUACAUAAUCACUUAAUUAUAUGAUAAGCGUUUAACUAAGUUUUUCGUCCAAUCGGGGCCUAAGACAAGUAACAAACAUAGCAUUGUUAUGACGAGUAAGAAACAGUAGUAACAGUGUCUCCUAAAAGUGUAUGUAUGAUCUCUUACUCUUCUCAGGGAUUCAAAGUAUUCAGGGGGGCUUCUCAAAGCCGUCAAAGCAGCUUCCUGAAAAGGAGCUGGAGCAGAAUCUGUAACUAUUAUAUGAAUGUUUCUGAUAGCAGAUGCAAUAGAGGCUGGUGCAAUUGCCCAUCCUAUCCUCCAACCUAAUAGAUACAGACCAACAGUGAGUUAAUGCUAUUCAUCUUAACAAGGAUGAGAGAACCCAAAAAUUUCCAGUGCAGUUUUGUUUCAUGCAGCUGAGUUAUUACCUGUGACACUAAAUGUUUUAGACAAAGAAGAUGUUAUAAUAGUCCGUUCUUGCAUUCCUGGAAACGAGGCAAGGGAUAUAUGUUUUUGGUUGUCAUAAGUUAUAUGCUCAUAUACCUGCACAAAGAGACCAGAAGAAGGUAAAAACAUUACAUUCUUCAAAUAGCAUACAACAAUCUUACUCUUGCAGAAUUAAAAUUCUCAGUAAUUUUUCUUGUGCACAAGCAAAUUCAGGUUGAAAAGUAUGAUAAUCCAAAUUAAAAGCUAAUAAGAACCAGCAAUUUCUAUUUAUCUAUGAAAAGAAUUACUGUCGUCGGAUAAUUAAAAUGUUUAAGUAGAUAACUGAUUCAUGCAAAAACUGUGGUCUCCUAAAACAUAUAUGUGCUCCAGCCUCAAGGGCACUCAACUCACAUUACAAUCAAUUGAAGUAGCAGGAGAAGAUUCAUAUGGAACAUGAGUAUCUGUUUUUAUGCAUUCCAUGAAUAUGCUGUUUAAAUCUUACGACUGAAGUUCUAUGAGUGGAAAUUAAUUGAGUGUCAUACUUCAUCUGUUAUAGCCAGGCAAUUUCGGCUGCAGCAUGCUCCGGCAAUAGUCUCAAGUUCAUCUUUUGUGAAAACUUUUCCAGUUGGAUUGUGAGGACUGUUUAAACUCUGUGUUAGUAUUUUGUAAUUCAUAAUGUGAGACUAACCAUCUCUUUCAAAUAUUUUGAGGUAUGACAACAAAAUUUAUACUAAGUGGGUGCUGUUAUAUAACAUAGUCAAUUCAUGCAUCCAAUCCAAAACAGUUAAAGAAAGUAAAAACAUUUCCUUAAUGCUAUACUCUUUUUUUUUUUGGCAGAAUUCUAAUUAAAAGAGGACAAACUUGAAACGGGGAAAUAUGAAAUCAUUUGAGAUUAUUUAUGUGUAAUUUCUAACCUAUUCAGUAUAAUGGCUUUAGUUCUCUCAGUAAUUGAUGUAAGCAAUUUUCUUGGAUCCAAGGUCCACUGAGGCGGGUCAAGCGGCACAUGUAUCUGUCCAGUUAAGUUCACAAAAACAAGGGUUACAUUAGAUAAAGGAAAAAGUGAUAAAAUGUUAAUAUCAAUAACUUCAACAGUUAAAGGGACAGCAAACAUGCAGGAUCAUUGGAUUGUACACAGGAUAUGCGCUUCAAAUUUUUUACUCAACACGUAUAGAUCAACACAAAUGAAUUUAGUGAUGCAGAAACAUUAUUUAUUUUCUAUAUUUUUUUCUAUAUGAAACAUGUUUGUUUCUACAGCUUCUUUUUUUUAAAUAGAAUAGUUGAAAAUCAGAUUUAAAACGUUUAAUCUGAAAUAUGUACUAUUGAAUAUUGAAUAAACCGUCAAUUUGGUCCAUAAACUAUAGAAAUAUAAUAAGUCGCCCUUGAACUACCAUUGUCUCUCGUAGUUUUAAAGCAACCGAGGACUAAUUUACUGGAUUAAUAAUAGUCCAGAGACUACAUAGGAGAGAGUGAUAGUUUAUGGACUAGAUUGAGGAAUUAUUCGGUGAUUAUUGUCAACUAAACACAACAAUGCAAGUUUAAACCGAUAAACAAAACUUGAGAUUGGUGGCAAUGCAAGCUUACAGGAACACCACCAGCCAUGGUAACACAUCCUUGAUAUGUUUCAUAGGAAGGGUCAAAGAGUAUGACUUCGUCGCCUGGGUCAAUUGCUGUUUGAAACAGAACAUACUAUGCUAUUAGAGGAAAAAAAACACACUGUGUAGUACCAACACUUCAUAUUGAAGACGUGUUGGUGUAGAAAACUUGUAAGCACUAACGCCAACACAUGUUCUUACAUUCAAUUACUUGUAUUAACUUAAAUGAUAAACGGCAAUGUAUCAGUGUCGGUAUUGUGUAAGGUGUAUGUGUCAGCUUGAACUAAAACAAUAAAACUAUAAAGAGCAUACUUGCAAAGAUUGCAGCAGCAAAAGCCUCAGUUUGACCACAACAGAUAGCUACAUCCGUCUCAGAGUCAAUAUCUAAACCAUGCAUUUCCUUUACUAUCUUAGCCAAGUGUUCACAUAUACCUUGCACAUGCCUUGAAAUACAAAGAGUAGAUAGAUUCUAUGAAUUGGUGAAAAAUGUAUUAUUAGUUUGAGUUGUGUGUAAAGAAAAAGAAAAACCUGUAUUGGUUGAGGUCGGAAUUAAUGGCGGAAACGGCGGCGUUUUUGAUGUGGAGAGGAGCAGGGAAGUCAGGGAAGCCUUCAGCUAGGUUGAUAGCAUUGCAUCUCUGAGCAAGGUGAGAGAGUUCUUGAAUGGGUGAUGAUGUAAGCUUCUUUGCCGCACGCGACAAUUUUCCUUCCAUUCUUUCUUUCUUCCUUAUCACUAUCCCUGUUACACAACUACUAUACUAUACUGUGUGUUGAAUUUGUUUUAAGGUUGCUGGUUUUUUAGUUAAAUUUUAAAAUUAAAUAUGUUGUCAUAAAAUUAUGUUUUUUGACAUAAAUGAUGUUGAACUAGUUUUUUUUUCUUCCAAGUAAUUUGAAAAUAGUUUUACUUAAUUCUAAAACCACAAAUAAUUAACAUGACGCUGUCACUCUAACCACCACUACUACUACGAUCAUUAUCACUUUAAUUAUAUAUGACAACUACUAAUUGUUGGAGACACAUAAUUGUCUCAUCAUAGUGAGUGACACACUCUAUUUCAAAAGAGAAAUGAUAUUUGUACAAUUUGUACAAAUAUUUGUACAAUUUAUGAUAACUUACUCUCUCAUAUUUAUAUGAUGAUCUUAUCUUCUCUCUUCUUUUUUCUCUCUUCAUCGUUUUUGACCGAUAAGAAGAGAGUCGCUAAAAUUAUCAUGAAAUUGAUGUACAAAUAUCACUAAUUUCAAAAGUGUUUAUAACCUACUACUACAGUGUCAAAAUUGUUUCAAAACCAUUCAGAAACAUAGAGGACAUCACAUAGUAACCAAUUAAGCAAUUCUCUUUUUUUAUCCUCGAUUAAUUGAUUUUCAAUAUCUACUAAUAAAUGUUUAACCUAACUAUUUGAUUAACACUCCAAAUAAGGGACUACCGACCAUAAUUAGCUUAUUGAUAAAUUUAGGUUUUUUUUUUUCAUUCAACUAGUCGAUUCAUCUUAAUAUUUCUACGAAUUCUAUACAAUUAAUCAAAUUUUUAACGUAAAAAAUAGAAAUAGAGUUUUUUUUAAAGAAAGAAAAAAAAUAGAAAUAGAGUUAUCAAACAUCACAUCGUAUUCCAAAAACACAUCACAUAAUCAUCAACUACAAACAUAUAGCAAAUCAUCAAUGCCAACAACUAACACAAAUCGCACUUUGUACAGAAUAAUAAAACAACAACUACAUAAUUCAUUAGAUAUUCAUGACAUGCAAAAUUAUUAAAUGAAUGACACAUUACAUGAGAUAGUAUAAGCAUAUUCAAUUGUCCCCGCAGCAGUACUACAAACACAUGAGUAGUUGUGUAAGAUAAGGACCACCAAACAUCUUUAUUUAAUCAGUUUACUUGUUACUCAUUAUACCAAUGAAUUAAACAUGUAAUUGUUCCAAAAGACUGGUCAUUUUUGAACAGCAGCAAAUCCUGGUCCGUUUUUCUUGCAGUGGAAUAUGCAUGUUUUUCAAAAGAAAUGGUUGAUUAACAUGUAAUUGUUCCAAAAGACUAUAUCGAUGGCAAGGAAUAUUAGUUCCAGUCACUUUCUAUUGCAUCCAGCCUAGUAGUGUUCAUUGAUAGCGCUUAAUGUCCAUGGUGUAGUUACUUCCAAAUUGUACAUUGGCUUCUUGGAAAAGAGUUCUUAGGGAUGAUAGAGGAAAUUUUAUGGCUGGUUUUGCUUCAAAGUUAAGAUUGUGUUUACCUCUUGAAGUUGAGUUAUAGGCUAUCCUAAAUGGUUUGAAAUUGGCUUGAAAUAAAGAUUUUCUCAAAAUUCAUGUGUGCACUGCAGAUUCUUUUAUUGUGAUCACUCUUUUUAAAGGUUAAUUUUUUUAAUAACAAAUUUUAGUAAGUUAAUUGUUAAAUUAAUAUUUUUUUUCGUUGCCGGAACUUGAAUCCUAGAACUUUAACUCUCAAACUACUUAAAUCUCUUAACUCGAGCCACUCUAGCUAACCCCCCCUCCCCUUUCAAGGAUAGUUGCUUGCACAAGCAUUUCUGGUGAUAUUUAUCGGACAAAUUUUUUAGAGAAGCUAACCAAAUUAUUGAUGGGUUGGAAAGCAUGGUUUGAUGUUAGACUCUAGGGUCAAAAUUAUUGAGUUUGCUCCUUAUUUUAUUUCUAAAGCCUUGUGUGGCAUAUGUUGUUGAUGCUAUUUUUUCUAGAAGUUUUUAGCCUUUUUUUUUUUUUUGGGUAGGGGGGGAUCAUUCACCUUAAUUUUGAAAAAUGAAAUGUUGACACAAAAAAUUGAUACAACUUGAAUGAAGAACAAUGCUUCUUUUAGUAAAAAAAGGAAAGAAAUUUGAGAUCAAAUUGGAUGGUUAACAUUGUUCAAAUAUAUUGUAAUUUAUGUUCAAUCAAUAGUUAAUAGUUAAUGAAUAUAACAAAACGUCACAAUUCACUAAUAUUCUAUUCAACUUUUAAAAAUUACUCCAUCCGAUCUUAAAUAUAAGUAAGAAAAAGUUAAAAAAAUAUCGGGUUUAGAUUUUGAACCUGAUAGAUCAAUUUUGCUUGACCUUUUUUUGCUUAUAUUUGAGACGUGUUGCUAAUUGUGUGAUUAAUAAGUUACAACAUCUUUAUGUAUUCACUAGCGUUCGGACGGACACUUUUUUUAUUGCUCUAAUGCAUAUCAAUUACGAAUAAUAGUUUUUAGGAGAUUUUAAUUUUAAUUAAAAUUAUUUUGAUUUUGAUUCAAAUUAUAUGUAUAAAUAUUUUGCACAUUUAUAUUGUAAACUAUACUUAUCUUAUUUUCAAAAAUAUAAUAUUAUUAUGGGAAAUGUUAACUUGUGCGCUUAAAGCACAAGUUAAUGAUUCAAACAUAUAAAUAAAUUAUUGAAAUGUGUGCAUUUUAUUUAAUCUUUAACUUUUAAAUGCUUUGAAUGCAUAAAAUUUUAGAGAAUAUUUCUUCUUUUGGGUUUCUUAAACAUGAUUAAUCUAAUAAUUUAUUUGAGAGAUGAUCAAAGGUUUUGUUAAUUUUCUAUUUUUUUAACAAAUCCCUAUAUUAUUUUAUAUUUUUGUUCCUAUUUAUGGAAGAGAGCGUCUUUUUCAAUAAAUUGGCUUGAAAAAUUAGUUAUGUGACUUCGAUUGGAAAAGAAAGAUCAAGAGAAAAUGAUAGCGACUAUGUUUGAUGGUGAGGAAUCCACAAAUAACAAAUAAUUGAAAUACAAUAGUUAAAUUCUUAAUUAUUGUCAAAAUAAUCAAUAACAUCCUCCUAUAAUAAAUUACCGCACUAUUUAAUUGAUGUCUCAUAAGUUGAAAUACAUAAUUAUAAGGGAAAUGCUAACAAAAAUAAAAAUUAUGUAUUUUAAUUAGUCCUAGCUCAACUGGCAAAUGCCGAAAUUGCAAGGCCGGACGUUGUGACCCGGGUUCGAACCCGGGACCUCACAGUUAUGUGUGAGUUUAUUUUCAGUGGAUUACCACUUCAUUUAAGACCAAAAAAAAAAAAAAAAAGAAAAUUUGACGAAAAACAUCGUAAUUUAAAUGAGAGUCGUUUUUGACAUUUUAACAAAUAGAUUGGUACUAUUUUUAAUACAUAAUUUUUAUUUUUGUUAUUUAACUUGUGUCCUUAAUAUUUGCCUUUAAAUAAUUAUAAGGGAAAUGCUAACAAGUGUUUCAAGCCACUUAUUAAGAUUUAAGAAGCCUAAAAUAGAAAUUUCAUCUUAAGAUUGAUGCAUUCCACACAUUAAAAUUUGAAAAAGUAAUUUAUUCUAUAUAAAACUUAUCAAUUAUUUCUAUUUCAAAAUCUUUAACGUGUACUAAAAUAUUUGUUAGCAAGAUCCAAAUAUGCGUAAAAAAAAUCAAACAAUAUUUAUUAACUUUCUUGAUUAAUGUGUGAUUUACUAUUGGUACAUAAAAGUACAGUAUCUGUACACAUUUACUACAAUGCAUGGAUAUAGAUAAGGAUGGAAGAAAAAAAAAAGGAUUAAUUGCACUUUUGACCCUCUAUGUUUAAAAAAGUUGCGAUUUUGGUCUCCUAACUAAUUAAAAUACAAAACAGCCCCAUAUGUAUUGAAUCUUUGGCAGUUUUGACCCCCUAACUAAUUAAAAUAAAAAACAGCCCCCUAUGUAUUGGAUCUUUGGCAGUUUUAGCCCCCUAGACCAAUUGUGACUCGGUCAACGCUGACGUGGCACUUCAAAGCCGCCACGUGUGCAUUGUUUUAAUUAAAAAUAAAUAAAAACCACAUAUAAAUUAAAGAAUUAAAUAAAUGAAAAAAAACAACAAAUAAUUAAAAAAAAGAAGAAAAAAAAAGAAGGAAAUCGUGUUCCAAAAUCCGAUUCUCCGUCUUCUUCCUCUCAUCUCUCUCUAAAACACUAAUUUUCUCUCUCCAAAACCCUUUGUUCCAAAAUUUUGAAGUUUUCUGCCACUAGUUCAUCACCAACAUGGAUUUGCUACGAUUGAAUCUCUCUCCUAUUCGAAUUGUAACCAUAAACACGAGGAAGUAAAGUGACAUUCUAAUUUUUCAAACACAGGUAAACUAGUUGUAGCAUUCAGGAACAGAGUUGAUGAGGAAAUAUAAAUAGAAACUAUCAUUACUCUUUUAAAUGCUCAAUUGGUCCCUUAACUUAAUUUCAAGUAUCAGUUUGGUCCCAUAAGUAAUAAAAAGUCCGUUUAGGUCCCUUAACUUUAUUUAAAGUAUCAGUUUGGUCCUUUCUGUUAAUUUAAUUCAAAAAAACGUUAAGUUGAGGGACCAAAUUAAUACUAAUUAAAUAAGUUAAGGGACCAAACUAAUACUAAUUAAAUAAGUUAAGAGACCAAAAUUUAACAUUUUUUUAAAUUAAAUUAACAGAAAGGACCAAACCGAUACUUUAAAUAAAGUUAAGGGACCUAAACGGACUUUUUAUUACUUAUGGGACCAAACCGAUACUUGAAAUCAAGUUAAGGGACCAAUUGAGCAUUUAAGCCUUUUUUUUUUAAAUGAAAUUUUAUCUUUUCCAUUUUAAAACCUUUUUUCCCUCACAAUUUCACUUUUUAUUAAUUUUUAUCUUAUACUCUUAUUUUCGGGUCAUUUCUCUUAUGUGCCUUAUUAUAUUUUCUAAACAUUUUUUAUGAUAUGGAUAUUUGUGACCAUAUAAACUCUAACACAUUAUAUAUAUUAAUUGAAUAGGCUACAAGAGCCAAAAGAAUCUCAAAACAGGAUGAGAUCAGUAAAAAUUAAUUCUAAAAAAAAUGUGAAAUUGGAGGAUAAAAAAAGUAGUUGUUAAAAUGCACUACAACUUCAUUCUAUCGUUGUCGCGGAUAAUGUUCAAGAAUCAAAUGUGGGUGAUAGUGUUGUUGUGGAUUAUGUUCAAGAAGCAAAUGUUGGUGUGGAUGAUGUGCAAGAACUAAAUUUGGGUGAUAAUUAUAAUUAAGGUGUUCAAAACCGAACUAAUUCAAUCAAAAAAUCGUAAUUCGAAUCAAUCCAAACCAAAAUCUCGCAAUCCAAUAUUGUACUUUGAAUUCUAGUAUUAUGUUUAGUUUAGUUUUGAGGAAACGUAGAGAAAACUUGCCGUGUGAUGUGAAUAACCAUGGUUCAUGCGACCUUUAUCUGAUCUGAUCUAAUAUUAUAUCAAUUGCAAGAAGGAAAAUGACACCCGUUGUUAUUAAAUGCAUCAACCUACGUACUUGUCGCAUUUAUUGUACCACCCCCACCUCACACCUUCGGUGCUACCCAAACUAUUUUCUUUAUGUCAACAUUAAUUAAUUAAUACAUCUAACAAUAUUAAAUUAAUCAAAUAACCAUAUAUUAUGAGCAAGAGCAGAUAGCUAGCUUCCAUGCCCAUGUGUUAUUCCUCUGUCUGCAUGUACCUAACUAAUUUAUCUUUCUUGCAUUUUCAUUCACUCUCUCACCCACCCCUUCUUUCUCCAUUUUCGUAUUUCUAUAUCAUAUAUUGAGUCAAAGAAAACAAGAUCAAAUAAGGUAUCAAAGAAAAAUAUGGAAGGAAUCACUGCUAGUGCAUACAAGGGUUUAAAGGAGUAUUGGCAAAGAAAGGGAUACAAAAGAAUAAAUGGAUCGAGCCGAAGAAGAAGAAGAACAAGCAAAGUUGAACUUGGAAGCACUCAAACCCGAAAAGGUCGAUUUUGGAGGUGGAAGAUCAAACUAUCACCUAAGAUCCGAAUCAACAGAAUCAGAAUCCCUUCCCCUAAGAAGAUGUUGCUUAGGGCAAGAGAUGCAUAUGUAAAUAUGAUGUUGGGUUUGGCCAACUCACGGGUUAUGACCGUGAGUGGCUCCGCCUCUGGAUUUGGUGGGGCUCUACCAACAGGAUUCACAGCGGAUUCUGGUUUUAAAAGAGCCCCACCUAAAGAGUAUGAUGAGAAGAUGAUUUUGCAGGUAUACAAAUCGAUUCUCAUGGGGCAUGGAAACUUAGAAGUUGCUUGCCGGCAGUGAUGGUAAGAAAUUAAGAUAAUAAAAGACAAACCGCAAACUUGGUUUGGUCUUUAAUUGUUGUCAUAGCUUUUCAGCUUCCCACCGUUUUCACCAAGAAUGAUGCAUUCACCUUUUCAAAAUACCCGUGUCAAUUUCUUCCUAUCCACUUUUUUUUUUAUAGUUUUUAUUUACUUUUAUUUUUAGUUUAUUAGUAAUGUUAUGGGAUUUAUUUUUUAGCAUGAUUCUAUCAACUUGAUAGAGAAUUCUCAGAAAGAAAAAAAAAAAAAAAAAAAAAAAAAAACUAGAUAGAUUGAUUAGAUUCUUAGUACUUAGUUGGGCUUAACAUGUCAACGUCACCGCAAUAUAUAGGCAAAAUCAGGCGAACAGAGCACCAUUAGCUCUUAAGUUUUACCUUGUAUUGUAAAAUUGAAAUAAAUGAUAUGUGCAUUUUUUUUUUUAUAUUGCUUUCUAGUAAGAUUUGGUGUAUAUAUGGAUGUUUUGAUAUGUGAAGUGUAACACUGAAAUAAACGAUA